UACUCCACGUCCAAUACCAAUUAGUAUUGGAGACUCACUUUUAUUUCUUUAAAAGACUCUUGUUACAAUACUGAUUCUAUAAAAUUAAAUUACAAUAAUUCACUUGAGCACUCUUGCUCCUUGUGAACCAAUGCACUCCUUAAGCACAUAUGCUUCCUUGAACCUGUUGUAAACAAACCUUAAUCCACUUGGAUUAAAUUUCCUUAGACAACACUUAGUCUAAAAACAAAUUAAGAUUACAAUAAUAGAGGUCUAAUGAUCAAAGCAAAUAAGCAAUUUAACAAUGCAAGACUCAACUAAAUGAAUGCAAUGAUCAAAUAAUAAAAGAUAGAUAUCACCAAUAUGAAGCUCACGAAAGUUGACUGAAAAUAUCAAUUGAUCAGCAGCUUAAAAUUUUCACCAAUAAGAGAAUAGCUUUCAAAGUUUGUGAGUGCAAGAUAUUAAUUCAAGUGUUGUAAGUGUUGUUAUUGUUCACUGUUCUCAGCUGCUUUUAUAGGCCAAAAACAUAAUAUCGUUGCUUCAUAAAAAUUGACGUUGAAAAUAAAAAUUCAACGUUCCAAUGAUUUUCUGUUGAAAACAAACAUAACAAAUCCAAUAACCUUCGGAUAAAUGUUAAACUUUUUCAGAAAUAAUCUAGAUAGAGACCAAGUCAAAUAGGACUAGACCUGUAGCAAUUAUGAUUCUUAAAAAACAAACUGCCGCCACAAUUGUUUAAGAGAUAUUACUGCCUUUCAAAAGAUAAUGGAGUGUUAACUUUGUAAAGAUAAGAAAGUGUAACAUCACACAACUCUCCAGGAUAAUCAUUAUCUUAUAUUCCCAAGACUUAGGUAUUUAAUUCAACCAACAGAUAAUGAUCACAUCUUUACCGCCACAAGCUUUUGUGCUUCCAACAAAUUACACAUGUUAUACAGCUUAUAUAGAAUCAGAACUAUCUUAUAACACAUGUAAUAUAAUUCAAUUAAACCGGAUAAUAAUUAUCAUAUUAAUUUUACGCAUGCAUAAUAAUAAAUCAUGUAAUAACAGUUAGCAUAAAAUUAAGCAUGCACGAAACAUUAAUUUUUUAAUCAACUUAAAUGCACACAUAAAAUGUCCUAGAGCCUUGUAUUAAAAAAUUGAAUAUUUGCAAUGACCUUACAUAUUUUUCCUAAGACACAAAGCAUCUUCAUUCUUCUUGAAUAAUCCAUCAAACAAUUCUUGAAACAAUUUCCUGAAAUUCAAAAUAAAGAAUUUAGUACCAAUGAACAAGUCAUCAUCAAAACAUUAGGCUAGAACGUGACAUAAUAAACAUUCUCCCCCUUUUUGAUGAUGACAACAUAAAUAAGUGAAACUCCCCCUAAAUUCAUGCAUAUAACUUAUUUCAGAAAAAAAAAUUCGUAGAACCUGCAUAUGUUAGUAUGAACCUGCAUAUGUUAGUAUCAUACUAAACCAAAGAUCAAAUCAUAAUAUUAUCAAAAUGAAAACAACAGUCUUAUCAUGCAGCAAAACAAAAUCACCAAUAGUCUUAACAUCCAGGCAACCAUGCCUACCAAAAACCAAAUCAAGUGAAACCAUAGUCUUAAAAAAAUUAAAACAACAGUCGCAGAAACUCUCCCCCUUUGUCAUCAUGCAAAAAGAGAACACCUCAAUCAAUCAAUAUCUUCGAGAUUGGCCCGCUGUUCAGCACGAGUGGUAAAGUAUGGUCAAUGAUGAAGGCGAUGAAGACGCUCUUCCAAAGUGUAAUCGUUUGCAAGUCGAGGUGGUCCAGGAAUAAAGGUUGCAGGAGGAAGUUCUAUAUCCAGAAAGUCACCCUUAUAUUCAGCCAUCCAAUUGUUCAUUGGCCAUUCGGGAAUUGGAGAAUACAUUGCUAGAACAUGAAACCUUUGGCCUAUAUCAUCGAACCUGGUGGCUAUAAAAUCUGCAAGCUCCCCGAGUUGAUAACUGACAAAUUUCACCUCUUGACUUAACUGACAUAUGUUCCUAUUAAAUUUUGGUUGGAGUGCUUCAACCAUAGCCAUCGUCUGAAUCUCAAAACAUGCCUGAAGAUCAAUAAAUUCAUCUUCAACCCGAUGAUAUAGUUUAUUGAUUUUUGGAGCAUCCAUCGGUAGCUUCCCUUUCUUAAGAAUCACAAGGCGAUUUCUUAUUUCAACCAAAUCAGCUUUCACAGAAUUUUGAGUUUGUAAAAUCUUAUUCAAAACAUUCAUAACAUCAGACCCAUGAAAAUUCGGCAAAGAAGAUGAAGAUGAAGAUGAAUCAGGAGUAUGAGAAAUAGGAGGCGGAGAGGUAAUAGGAGGAUCAGGGAGAAGACGAACAAAUUCACCAGCAUGAAAAGUAAUGUGAGAUUUUGUCAAAUUGGCAGUGUCAAUAAGCUCAUGAUUUAUGACAGAAAUUUCAUCAUCAAAAGAGAUCUUAAAAUGUUGAAAAAGUUUUUUUAAAAACUUGCUGUAAGGAAGACACUUCUUUCUUUGACGAAUGCAACUUUGCAUAUGAGACAACAUCAUUUGAGAAAAAUUAAAAACCUUUCCUUUGAGAAUCAUAGCCACAACAACCAAAUCCUGAUAAGUACAAUCGGCUCCACCACCAAGGUGUGGAAACAGAUUAUACCGAACCAACUUAUGUAAUACACAUGCAGUAGGACACACACUCACAGUUUUUCGAAGAAUCAAAGAUGUAAGAGAGAAAUCAUUCAUCACAAUAUGAAGCUGUUCUAAUGGAUGAAAAGGAAUAUUAGCAGCACCUUUUAAAGUGAAAGGACAAGGUCCAGCAGAAGAAAUACCAAGAAUGCUUCCAAAAUCAAUACUGGUAAAAAAUAAGGAUUUACCCUUGACAAAUGUUGUAAAACAGUCCCUAUUGCAUUCAAGAUUAAUGUAGAAUUGUUGGACUAACCGAGGAUAAGCAAUAGAAGGAGGAAGUAGCAUAGAGGAAAUGUUGCAAUCAGUGAAGAGUUUUUCCAAAAUAGAGUGUUUUAAAUAAAAUAGAUCCAAAGAUUUUUCAUACACAAAUUGCUUUGUAGAGAUGGAGUUUUUAAAACGAGUUUCGAAACUAAGUCCUCUAAAGAAAUUUUCUUGCGAAUCAAAAGAGGAUGAAAAUGGAUUUACCAGAUUAGAAGGAGACUCAGGCUGUGAGAAAAACUGUUCUUCAUCCAUUGGCUACUUCAUCUUGUCCCGGUGAGACAGUUCAACUUCGAAGGUUUUUAAGAAAGAAAAACUAGAAUCUGAGUCGUCGAACAAAAUUGUAGCAUCAGACAACACAUGCACAGAGGAUUUCUUAUGUACGCGCUUGGAUUUCAUCUUUGUUCCCUUAAUGUUCUGCAACGAAGAACCUUCGUCGGUUGAUUUUCCAGUAGAUCGCUUACUAGCUUUGGUUUUCAUGGUGUUAUCGACUCGUGAAGAUGAAAGAAAGGGUUUUGGAUAGAUAACGGAUGUGAAAGAUCUGAUUUAAGAAGAAGAAGAUUGAAACCAUAAGAAAUAGAAAUCAAUUAAAACUCUGUUACUAAAAGACGUGUGUCUUUUCAACUUUUAAAAAAUCUAUUCGGCUACUGUUCUGUAUCUCAAGGCGUAAACCUUUACUUUUCCCAAUGACAUCCGGCGAUAUUAAUAGAAACAUGUAUCUAGAACAUAAUUUGAGCAGAUAGGAAAUGGCAAACAGAUAUAUAUUUUAUCAGAUAUCAUGCAGAAAAUAAAUGAUACAUAUAUGUAUAAAAUAUAAUCUGCAUGUUAUACAAUUUUAAGCACGUAAAUCACAAUUAUAUCAUGCACAUUCCAAGUUCUCUCCUUAGCAUACAAAAUCUUUCCUCACUCAAGGGUUUAUUAAAAAUAUCAGCUAAUUGUUUUUCGGUAGAAAUAAAAACCAAUUUAGCUAACCCUUUUGAAACAUUAUCCCUUAAAAAAUGAUGUCUUACCUCUAUAUGUUUUGUACGUGAAUGUAAAACAGGAUUCUUUGAUAUGUCAAUAGCACUAGAAUUAUCACAAUAUAUAGGCACAUUAUUGCAGAUUAUGUCAAAAUCACAUAGAGUUUGUUGCAUCCAUAAUAUUUGAGAGCAACAACUCCCUGCAGUUAAAUAUUCACCCUCAGUGGUUGAUAAAGCAACUGAAGUUUGCUUCUUACUAUGCCACGAAACAAGACUUUGUCCCAAAAAUGUACAAGCACCACUUAUACUUUUUCUAUCAACUUGAAACCCUGCAUAGUCAGCAUCUCGAUAUUUAGUUACCUCUACAUCUAUACCUUUAUCAUCUGAAGUGAGCUUAAUAGAUGUACUCAUUGGUGUAGCCUUUGAGUUGGUUCCUUCAAAUUCGAAUCUUUUGAGUAACUCUUUUGUGUACUUGGUUUGAUGAAUAUAGAUCCCUUCCCUUGUUUGCUUAAUUUGAAGUCCCAAAAAGUAAUUUAGCUCUCCCAUUAAGCUCAUAUCAAAUUCCUUAUGCAUACACUUUGAAAACCACUCACAAAGAAAAUCAUUAGUAGCACCAAAUAUUAUAUCUACAUAUAUUUGAACAAUGAUUAUUUCUUGUUUUUUAUGUUUAAUAAAUAAGGUAGAAUCUAUUUUACCUCUAGUGAAACCACUUGAAAUAAGAUACUUACUCAACCUCUCGUACCAAGCCCUUGGAGCUUGUUUGAGACCAUAGAGAGCUUUCUUUAGCUUAAAGACAUGAGUUGGAUAUUUCUCAUGUUCAAAUCCAGGAGGCUUUUUGACAUAGACUUCUUCAUUGAUGUAUCCAUUAAGAAACGCACUCUUUACAUCCAUUUGAUAAAGCUUGAAUUUCUUAUAACAAGCAAAUGCUAACAAGAUUCGAAUAGACUCUAGUCUUGCAACUGGAGCAUAAGUUUCUUCAUAAUCGAUUCCUUUCUGUUGAUUGUAACCAUGAGCCACUAACCUUGCUUUGUUGCGAGUGAUUGUCCCAUGCUCAUCAAGUUUAUUUUUAAAUACCCAUUUUGUUCCAAUGACAGAAGCAUCUUUAGGAGGAGGCAUUAAUUCCCAAACAUGACACCGUUCAAAUUAUUGAAGUUCCUCUUGCAUUGCUAGCAGCCAAUUUUCAUAAAGUAUAGCUUCCUUAGCAUUCUUUGGCUCAACUUGUGAUAGAAAUGCAGAAAACACGCAUUGAUUCUGUAGGUUUCUUCGUGUAGUAACUCCUUUAUUUAUAUCUCCAAUGAUAUUUUUCGGUGGAUGAUCCUUGAGAUAUUUUGCUGUCUUUGGCAUUUGAACAUCGUGUAUUACUUCUUCUUGUUGAGGAAAAUUUUCUUGUGUUCCUUCUUGUUCAUUUUCAUGUGGAUCGUUUAAUUCAGCCUGUUGAGUUUGUCAAUUCGGUCUGCUGAAUGGUUCUCUUCGGUUUGCUAAAUUUGUGAAAAUCUCCAAAUUUCCUGCAUCCUCUUCUCUUUCUUUUGGAAGAUCAUUGUUAGUCUCAUUGAAAGUUAUAUGAAUUGAUUCUUCAACACAUAACUUGUAAAUAUUAAAUACACGAUAUGCCUUGUUGUUAUGUGAAUAACCAAUUAAAAUACCUUUAUAGGAUUUAGCAUCAAAUUUUUCCAAGUUAUCACUAGUAUUUAAUAUAAAACAUUUAGACCCAAAUACUUUGAAAUAACUUAUAUUAGGAAUUUUAUUAUUCAAAACCUUAUAAGGAGUUUUCAAGAUAAUAGGACGAGUAAGAACUCUAUUUAACACAUAACAUGAAGUAUUAACAGCUUCGGCCCAAAAUUUCUUUGGAAGAUUGCUUUCUUGUAAAAGUGUUCUAGCUAUUUCUUAAAGUGUUCUAUUCUUUCUUUCCACUACUCCAUUUUGUUGAAGGGUUCUAAGAGCUGAAAACUCAUGGCUUAUACCUUUUUGAUCACAAAAUGUAAUAAAGUCUUUUUGAAAUUCGGUACCAUGAUCACUUCUAAUUUUUAUAAGUUUGAAACUAUACUUAUUCUCUAAAUUUCUUAUUAAUUUCUCAAACUCUUUGAAUGCUUCAUCUUUAGUUCUUUAAAAUAAUACCCAUGUAUAUCUAGAAAAAUCAUCAACUAUUACAAAUGCAUAAAAUUUACCAUUAAUACUAACAUGUCUUUCUGGGCCAAAUAAAUCAAGAUGAAGUAAUUGUAAAGGUGAAGAAGUUGAUACCAUAUUCUUUGCACUGAAUAAUGUUCUCACUUGUUUUCCAAGUUGGCAAGGAACACAUAUUCCCUUUUUUUCAUAUUUUAUCUUUGGCAAACCUUUGAAAAGAUUCUUUGAGGACAAUUUCUUGAUUAAAUCCAUGUGAACAUGUCCCAUCCUCUUGUGCCAUAGAUUAGCCUCAUCUUGCACAGAUGCAAGACAUAAUUCUUCAUCCUGUUCCUCAAAGUCAAUAGUAUAUAUAUUUCCUUCUCUUUGUGCAACUAGAGAAACAUUGUUAGUACCGUGAGAAAUAAUGCAUUUUUCUUUAUCAAAACUAACUUGGUGACCAUUGUCCAUUAAUUGACUUAUACUAAUAAGAUUAAAUUCAAGACCGUUAACAAGAUGAACAUUAUCGAUGUUAACCUUACCAUUACCAAUUUUACCUUUUUCAACAAUCUCAAAAGUUCGAUUAUCUCCAAAUGUGACCGUUCCAUUUUUCUUGAUUUUUAGUUCCACAAACUUUGAUUUGUCACCAGUCAUGUGACGAGAGCAUCCACUAUCAAGAAUCCAUUUUUGAGAUAGAACCUUCGCCUUGAGACAUACCUGUCAAGAAAAGAUAAUUCAUCUUUUUGGUACCCACAUCUUUUUGGGUCCUUUAAUGUUAGUUGCAAGUAAAUCAUUCUUUUUAACCCAUACUUUUUUAAUCUUACUUUUCUUAAAGCAAUUUAUGUCCAAGUGACCUUUUAUACCACAGUUUUUGCAUGUUGUGAAAGGAGAACAAUAAUUCAAUUUGAAACGCGACUUGGAUCUAAGCAUAUUCACAUUACCGGUUUUAUGAGUAGGAUUAUAACCUAUUCAUUGUCUAUCAAAACUAGGUUUUUGCUUUCCUAACAUGACAGUUAGAUUAUCUUCUCCUUGAACGAAUCUAGCAAGAGAUAUUUUUAAUGAGUCUACUUCCUUUUGAAGUUCAUUAGUAUGAAUGGGUUUAGACUGGGAUUCAUUACCAAAAGAAUUAAUACAUACAUCUCGCAUUUUCAAUUCAUUUGUCAAUUUUUCAACUUCAUUGUUCAAGUAAGUCACUUUGUUAAAAAGAACUUUGUUAUAAUUCUCAAGAAAAUCAUUUUUAGUAAUCAAAACCUUUUCUUCUUUACAUAUAGAUUCAUUUUCAAUAUUUUUCUUUUUAUCUAUCAAAGAUUCUACUUCACCCAUUAAUGUGUUAACUAAGUCUUUCAAAUAUGCAUUCUUUUCUUUCAAUUUCUCAUUUUCUUGUUUCAAAGAAAUAUUUUCAAAAAUAGAUACCUCAUUUGAUUCACCUUCUAUUCCUAUGAAGCAUACUUGAGCUAUCUCAUCCUUGGCGUCAAUCUCAGCUUCUGAUUCUUCUUCAUCACUCUAAGUGACCAGUGCCUUAUUUUUCUUAUUCUCCUUGAAGCCUGUUUUUCCUUUAUUCUUUAGCUGAAAACAGUCCUUCUUGAAGUGCCCUGGACGUCCACAUUCAAAACACGAUUCUUCAGUUUGUUUUCCUUUGCCUUUGAAUGUAUUCUUUCAUUUAUUCUUUCUUUGUAGAAGUCCUUUGAGUCUCCGUGACAUCAUAGCUAUCUCUUCAUCAGAAUCAUCAUCAAGCUCUUCUUCAUUUCUUGCAUUAAGAGCUAAAACCUUUCUACGAGAAGUUUCUUCCUCAUCAUCAUACCUCUUUAACUGAUGUUCAUAUUCCUCAAGUUCACCAAAAAGGGUUAGUGUAUCCAUAGUAGAUAUAGUAGAGGAAUCUUGAAGAGUAGUAAUCUUAGAUGCAAACCUCUUAGGCAUAGCCCGAAGUAACUUACGAUUAAUCUCACUUUGUGGAAUUGAUUUGUCCAGUAGCUUUAAAGAGUUCAGAAGAACAAGGAAUCUUGCUUGAGCCAUCUUUAUAGUUUCAUCUUUCUCAAGUUUGAACAUCUCAUAGUCAUGCAUAAGCAUGCUUAGUUUAACUUCUCGAACUUUUGAUGUUCCUUCAUGACUCACCACUAGAGUAUCCCAAAUUUCCUUAGCUGUGUUGCAUGAGGAUACUUUGUCAAUCUCGGACUGCACCAUGCCGCUUAAUAGAGUAUUCAUCGCCCUUGAGUCAUAGGAGACCAUGAAGGUUUCAGUUGAAUCCAUCUCUAGCAAAGUCUUUGGAGUACCGUCAUCUUUCCUUGGAAUAACUGGUCCAUUCUCCACAACCCACCAUUCCCAAGGAUCUCUUUUAAGGUAGAUCCUCAUUCGGAAUUUCCAGAAGUUGUAGUUUUCUGUUCCAUGCAGCAGUGGAGGUCUAUUGGUUGAUUGACCUUCUUGAUUGUUGUUUCCGAACUGUGCCAUGUCAGAAUCUUUCCCUACAAGUCACUUUUAAGACCAAGUAAGUAGAGCCAAGCUCUGAUACCAAAUGAAAUUCAGAUAAGGCACACUUAGAAGGGGGGGUUGAAUAAGUGUGGAUACAAACUAUGACCAAUUUAAAAACUUUAAACCAAAUUAUUGAAUGUAGUCAACUAUAUUGAUGAAUGCAGCUUGCUGAAUGAAUAUGGUCUACCGAAUUGAAUUUUUGUUUAAGAAAAUAUCUUGGUGUUUUUGUAAGUUAAAUAAAAUAUUUAAUGAUAACAAAAAUUCUCACGAUUAAAUUUUGUUUAUUUAGCAAAUCAAUUAACUUGAGUGAAAUUAAGUUAAAUCAAGUAAUAAAAAUAACACCAAGAUUUUUACGUGGUUCGGCUAUUACCCUCUAUAAUAAUAGCCUACUCCACGUCCAAUACCAACUAGUAUUGGAGACUCACUUUUAUUUCUUUAAAAGACUCUUGUUACAAUACAGAUUCUAUAAAAUUGAAUUACAAUAAUUCACUUGAGCACUCUUGCUCCUUGUGCACCAAUGCACUCCUUAAGCACCUAUGCUUCCUUGAACCUGUUGUAAACAAACCUUAAUCCACUUGGAUUAAAUUUCCUUAGACAACACUUAGUCUAAAAACAAAUUAAGAUUACAAUAAUAGAGGUCUAAUGAUCAAAGCAAAUAAGCAAUUUAACAAUGCAAGGCUCAACUAAAUGAAUGCAAUGAUCAAAUAAUAAAAGAUAGAUAUCACCAAUAUGAAGCUCACGAAAGUUGACUGAAAAUAUCAAUUGAUGAGCAGCUCAAAAUUUGCACCAAGAAGAGAAUAGCUUUCAAAGUUUGUGAGUGCAAGAUAUUAAUUCAAGUGUUGUAAGUGUUGUUAUUGUUCACUGUUCUCAGCUGCUUUUAUAGGCCAAAAACAUAAUACCGUUGCUUCAUAAAAAUUGACGUUGAAAAUAAAAAUGCAACGUUCCAAUGAUUUUCUGUUGAAAACAAACAUAACAAAUCCAAUAACCUUCGGAUAAAUGUUGGACUUUUUCAUAAAUAAUCUAGAUAGAGACCAAUUCAAAUAGGACUAGACCUGUAGCAAUUAUGAUUCUUAAAAAACAAACUGUCGCCAUAAUUGUUUAAGAGAUAUUACUGUCUUUCAAAAGAUAAUGGAGUGUUAACUUUGUAAAUAUAAGAAAGUGUAACAUCACACAACUCUCCAGGAUAAUCAUUAUCUUAUAUUCCCAAGACUUAGGCAUUUAAUUCAACCAACAGAUAAUGAUCACAUCUUUACCACCACAAGCUUUUGUGCUUCCAACAAAUUACACAUGUUAUACAGCUUAUAUAGAAUCAGAACUAUCUUAUAACACAUGUAAUAUAAUUCAAUUAAAUCGGAUAAUAAUUAUCAUAUUAAUUUUACGCAUGCAUAAUAAUAAAUCAUGUAAUAACAGUUAGCAUAAAAUUAAGCAUGCGCGAAACAUUAAUUUUUUAAUCAACUUAAAUGAACACAUAAAAUGUCCUAGAGCCUUGUAUUGAAAAAUCGAAUAUUUGCAAUGACCUUACAUAUUUUUCCUAAGACACAAAGCAUCUUAAUUCUUCUUGAAUAAUCCAUCAAACAAUUCUUAAAACAAUUUCCAGAAAUUCAAAAUAAAGAAUUUAGUGCCAAUGAACAAGUCAUCAUCAAAACAUUAGGCAAGAACGUGACAUAAUCAACAAAAAUUGUGUUGUUGUAGGAAUAUAUGUAAUAAUUUGAGUAGCAUAAUAUGUUUUAUUGUAUAUUAUAUAGGUUUCCAUAUCAUCAAUUAAAUGAAAUUAUACAGUAAAAGAUUUUAGAGUAUGUUAUAUGACCAUAUGGCCUUAUACGUAUUUUUUUUUAAUAUGUCAAACAUAAAUUGUUUUGCAAAAUUCACACACUUAUAUGAUUAUGCAUGAUAAAAUGAACAAAACAAAAUUUGAAUGGUUGGAUUUGGUCUUAUAACGAAUCUAUGACGUUGAAUUUUAGAAUUUAUGUUCAAUACUUCAAGAACAAUACAAUUUGCAUGCUUUAAUUCUGUGAUUAUGUGUUUUAAUGGGUGAAAAUCACUCCAUAGAUGUUAAGUAUUGAUUAUAUAUGAAUUCUAGCAUGUGGGUAUGUCUAAAUUUGUGUAAAAAUAAGUUGAUUAGAAAUUUUUAGCCAUGUUCUGCAAUUUUUGCGAAUUGCAGAACUGGAACUGGAGUCUCGCGCCGCGGCGCUAACUCCCUGUACAAAUCUCGCGCCGCAGCGCCACCGCGCCGCAGUGCCAAGAACCUUAGCCGCAUCGCCACGGCGCCGCAGCGCUAAGAAUAGUCUUAGAAGUGGCGCCGCAGCGCCACUUAGCAGAAUGGUCAGAAAUGAGUUUUAAAAAAAUGUUUAAGUAUAGAAAUGUGAUAUCAACUUAGUCUAAUGAAUAUAAAAACUUGUUAGACAUAUAAUGAGAUAUUAAAAUGAGUUUUUACCAAGUCAAGAAGACAAUUUCAUGUUAAUUGAAUUGUUGAUUAUAUACUUAGCUUUUUGUUCGUAUAGUGUAAUAUUAUGUGGAAACAAGUAUAGUAAUAUGACUAAGUAUAGUCAUGAAUUNNNNNNNNNNNNNNNNNNNNNNNNNNNNNNNNNNNNNNNNNNNNNNNNNNNNNNNNNNNNNNNNNNNNNNNNNNNNNNNNNNNNNNNNNNNNNNNNNNNNUGUUAGACUAGCGAACCCUUAUUGAUUCGACUAGUCCAUAGUUGAUGAGCGUUCUAAAUUUUAGAACCCUUGAUGAAUUAUCCAAACCAAACUUCCUUUGGUGCGGACUCGAAUGUCAAACUGAGAUGAACAACCCUAUAUAGGGGAUUACUUAUGCGUUAGCGUUAAGAUAUUGUGCACAAUAUGGUACUAAGGGCUGAUCCCCCUAAGUACGAGAAGAAGAGUCCAUAGUCUUCUGAUUGUUAAAGGUUUCAAGUAAAAACACUUGACCACCUAGGACAUAGUUCAAGGUCUUAUGACCCUCAGAAAUUCUUUUGAUUCUUGUUAUUCAUUCUUGAUUCAAAAGUUGAGAUUUUAUAUCCAAAGUUAUUAUUUCUCUCGCAUGUUAUUAUUCAUUGUUAUAUUGUUAUGCUUGUGGGCAAUCGUGCUCACUCUUGCGUAAUAAUAACAUUGCAGUUAAGAACAAAAGAGCAGACGAACCUUCCACUAGUAAGGGCAAGGGCAAAAUUCGCAAGUAAUGAAGACUGUUUUAUUAUUGUGGUUAUGUAAUGAUGAUUAAAAUUGAUGUUACUUAAGACUUAUUUGUUUAUGUUUUACGCACAGAUGUUUUAAGGUUAGAGCUAUCUAGGAUUUAUUUAUUAUGCAGUUGAUGUAACCCCAUAAGGGGAGAGAUUUAUUAUUUAUUUCUAUUUAUUGCAUGGUUUGCAUUUAUUUUUGGGUAGAUAGAUAGAUGAUGUUUGUAAAGUGAACACCAAAUCCUGUGGAAAUGGAAGUACCAGAUUUGGGGGUGUCACAUGUUGGUAUCAAAGUUGUAGGUUAUGAACCUUAGGUGGGGGAACAACCUUAGGUAGUAGCCUUGUAGGAGAUCGAGAACAUAGUGGUGGUAAACUCUUAUCGAGUUCUAAGAAAUGAAUUUCUAAAUUCAUUGAAGAUAAUAAAAGGCUUUAUGUGCUUAUAUGUUAAUUUAUGUGUUCGCUAGCAUGGAUUAGUAACCAAAACUUAAAAUUUUUUUGUCAGGAUGUCGGAUGUUGGAGGAGCUAGUCGAGCUGGGGAGGAGGAACCCUGAGUACCGACAGAAGAGGAGCCCCGAGACAUUCAUGUCGUCAGGGAACAGCUGGUACAGAGAGAGCCAUCUCCGUUGAUCACUAUUGUUGGUCAGGAGCAUGAGCCUGAGACUAAUCCAGAGGAGGAUCCUGAGGAAGAAGAGGAGUUCCCACCGAACUCCAUUGAUGCUGAGAUGUAUGAUGCACUUUAUGAUCAUAACAUAGAGUUGCAGGAUACUGUCCGGGAUCUGACUGAGCAGGCGGUUAGUCAGCAGAUUACUAUUGAGCAGAGGGAUAGGGAGAUUGUGACUCUUCACACAUGUUUAGGAAAUAUGGAGUGGGAUCUGGUUCACGAGAAGGGUCAAACCGAGGAUAAGUCCGCAGAAAUAGAAAAGUUGAAGAAGGAUCUGAAAGAGAGCUCAGAAAGGCUUGCCAUAGAAGAAGAGGGUUGGGUAAGAGAGUCGCGACGUGCUGAUCUCGCAGAAGAUGAUUGCUGUGCAAAGAAGGCUAAGCUUAGGGAGACGUACUAUACAUUUCACAGUGCAAUGGAUACGGGCCAAGAUCGAGUUAUAAAGUACCCAAUCCAGUUUGAAGGUCUACCAUCAUACAUGCUUGAUCGUAGGACGAUGUCUCGUAUUAUGGAAGAAGAACGUGGCAAGGCUAUCCAACGCCUUAAUAGGCAGUGAUAGUAUUAGUUUAAUUAUGUGGAAUCUAUUUGGUAGUUAAUGAUGUAAAUUCCGAUGUGUUUAUAAACAAAGGAAUAUUUUGAUGUUUUAAAUCCUGUAGAUUCUUUAUCUCGGGAUAGUGGAUGUAAAUAGCAAUGAUGCUAUCUUUUGAUGUUAAAACUUUUGAAUUAAAUGAAAAUUUUAGAGUUUAAUUGAAUUGAUGUGUUAAGUGAAUUAUGAUUGAAUGUUUUACUUAAGUCUUAAAUGUUUAAGAGAUUGAAUAAAGACCUAAUAAGUGUAUAUUCUUAAUAGAAAUAUGCCGCCUAGAAGAAAACAGAACCGUCAGCAAGCACAAGAAGAACCAAUGAAUAACAACGAUGUCAAUGCUAACCCUGUUCAGCAGUUGGUGAACCUUCUGGCUGGGGAAAUUAACAAUCAACCACAAGCUCCACCAAAUACCUCGUUUAAGGACUUCAAGGCGGUGGGACCGCCGAAGUUUAAGGGUUCCAUAAACCCGAUCGAAACUCAGACUUGGGUGAUGGAGAUGGAGAAGGUGUUCGACGUCGCUCGAGUAAGAGAAGAUCAGAAGACCGCGUAUGCAACAUUUAUGUUGAAGUCUGAAGCCAGUUAUUGGUGGCAGGUAAACAAAGUGAGAGGAGGUGAAGGUGUAAUAUCCUGGGAAAGAUUUAAAGAAAUGUUCUUCAAGAUGUACUUUUUGACCAGUUCACAAAAUCAUAUGGAAGUUCAGUUUUUAGAGUUGAAACAGGGAAGUAUGUUAGUAGCUGAUUACGCGGCAAGGUUUAAAGAGUUAGCUAGGUUCGCCACAUACCAAGUGCACACCGACGAGAGGAAGGCAAGACGAUUUGAGCAGGGACUGAAGCCCUGGUUGUAUAACAAAGUGUCAAUGUUCCAACUGAACACUUUUGCUGGAGUGCUAGAGAAGGCCAUACUUACUAAAGGUGGAAGCGAUGUGGUAACUAAGUACAAUCAGGAUCAGAAGAAGAAGAAAAGUGAGAAUGAAGGUAAUAACAAAACUGGUGGGAGUAGCACUGGGGGUAAUCACAAUCAGAAGAGGAAGUGGUCUGAAAAUUCGUCGGCUGGAAGUCAACAGGGAGGGAAGAAGAAGAUCGAACCGUGCUCAACCUGCGGAAAAACUCAUCUGGGAGUUUGCAUAAAAGGGAAGUGAGUGUGCUACAAUUGUGGUUUGGAAGGCCACAUAGCACCAAACUGUCUGAACCCAAAGAAGGGUGCCUGCUUCACAUGUGGCUCAAAGGACCAUCUUGCAAGAGAUUGUCCUAAGAAGGGAUCGGGAGGGACGAGUUCAGGAGGAAACAGAGGAAAUACUGGUGGAACCACUCUGACCAUUGUUGGACCAACCGCAACCAAUCGACCGACAGCCAGAACAUUCAACAUGACAGUACAGGACGUAGUGAAGUCUCGCGAUGUGGUGUCAGGUAUCAUUCCGAUCAAUAAAAUUAAUGCUUAUGUAUUAUUUGAUUCGGGUGCUACUUGUUCAUUUAUAUCCGAUGACUUUGCUAAGAACUUAGAAUUGCUUAAGGAUGAGUUAGAAUACCCCAUGAACAUAGAAAUUGUGAAUAGAGAAAUAAUCCAUGUUAAGUAUGUGCAUAAGAACUGUAGAGUAGAUAUUAAGGGUAAUAUCAUGAACGUAGAUCUUAUCCCUAUUCGACUCAGAGAAUUCGAUGUUAUUUUGGGUAUGGAUUGGCUAUCCAAUUGUGGGGCGAUAAUUGACUGCCAGAAGAAACGUAUUAACCUUAUGACUCCGUCAAAGGUUAUAUUUUAUGGUAGCAAGUUGCCUAGACAAGCGAGUUGUCUGACGAUGAUGCAGGCCAGGAGAUUGUUAAGGCAAGGCUGUGUAGGAUAUCUAGCUUACAUAGUCGAUAGUUGUAAAGAGAAUCCGAAAAUAGAUGAGAUUCCAGUAGUGAGAGAUUUCACAGACGUAUUUCCGGACAAUUUGUCGGGACUUCCUCCAGAUAGAGCAGUUGAAUUCGUGAUCGAUUUGGCUCCAGAAACGGCUCCAAUAUUGAAGGCAUUGUACCUAAUGGCACCGGUAGAGGUGAAAGAAUUGAUGGUCCAACUACAAGAAUUACUGGACAAGAAGUAUAUACAACCAAGCGUAUCACCAUGGGGAGCGCCGAUUUUAUUUGUGAAGAAGAAGUAUAGGACAAUACGGCUCUGUAUAGAUUAUAGAGAACUGAAUAAGGUCACGAUUAAGAAUAGAUAUCCUUUACUGCGAAUUGAUGACUUGUUAGAUCAGUUAAAGGGAGCAAGAUACUUUUCAAAGAUAGACUUGAGAAGUGGUUAUCAUCAACUAAAGGUGAGACCAGAAGAUGUACCGAAGACAGCGUUUAGAAGAUGAUACGGUCACUAUGAAUUUUUGGUAAUGUCAUUUGGUCUAACAAAUGCUCCUGCAGCAUUUAUGGGCUUAAUGAAUGGAAUGUUCAAGCUGUUUUUGGACAAAUUCGUAGUGGUAUUUAUAGAUGAUAUUUUGGUAUAUUCAAAAACCAAGGAAGAACACGAAGAGCAUUUGAGGAUGACAUUAGAGACAUUGAGAAGAGAGAAGUUGUAUGCUAAGUUUUUGAAAUGUGAAUUUUGGAUUGAAAGAGUACAAUUUCUUGGACAUGUGAUCGAUAGGGACGGAAUUUCGGUGGAUCCCUCCAAAGUCGAAGCUGUGGUUAACUGGGAUCAGCCGAAGACGCCAUCAGAAGUAAGAAGUUUUCUUGGAUUGGCAGGUUAUUACAGAAGAUUCAUUCAAGAUUUUUCCAAGAUCGCGACUCCGUUGACGAAUUUGACUAGAAAAUCGGUGAAAUUUGUUUGGACGGAGAAGUGUGAGGAAAGCUUUCAAGAAUUAAAGAGGAGGUUGAGUUCAACACUUGUGUUAUCUCUUCCGGAUGAUACAGGAAAUUUUGUGGUUUAUAGUGAUGCAUCGCAUAAAGGACUUGGCUGUGUGCUUAUGCAAAAUGGCAGUCAUUGCGUACGCGUCACGACAACUAAAAGAUUAUGAGAAGGGGUAUCCGACCCAUGACUUGGAGUUAGCUGCAGUGGUUUUUGCUUUGAAAAUUUGGAGGCACUAUCUCUACUGGGAGAAGUGUGAAAUAUAUACAGAUCACAAGAGUCUGAAAUAUAUUUUUACAUAGAAAGAUUUGAAUAUGCGCCAAAGAAGGUGGUUGGAGUUAAUUAAGGACUAUGAUUGUGAGAUUCUAUACCAUCCGGGUAAGGCAAAUAUGGUUGCUGAUGCCUUAAGUAGAAAGGGUCAGGAGAAACUGUUGAUAUUGACUGAACGAGAGGAGUUAAUUUCAGCAAUGGAGAAGCUGGAAUUGAAAGUGAAGUAUCCUAUGGAGAUUGACGAGAAGCUGUUCCAGAUCCAAGCUGGUACAACUUUACUAGAUAAAGUUAAGGAGGCUCAACUUUAGGAUGAAGAAUGUGAGACAGUGAAAAAGAAGAUAUCCAAAGGAACUGAAUCAAGAUUCAAGAUGGAUAAGGAAGGAAUACUGAGGUUUGAGAAUAGAAUUUGGGUACCGCCAGUACCAGAGAUUAAGGAAGAAAUUUUGAGCGAGUCUCAUAACUCACGAUAUUCGAUUCACCCUUGUAGUACCAAGAUGUACCAAGAUCUUCGACAACACUUUUGGUGGCCAAAUUUAAAACGAGAGGUUGCAGAAUGUGUUGCUAAGUGCCUGACAUGUCAGAAAGUGAAAGCAGAACAUCAGAGGCCGAGUGGGUUACUACGAACUUUAGAGAUUCCAGAUUGGAAAUGUGAACAUAUUAUGAUGGAUUUCAUGGUUGGCCUACCGAUAACUCAAAAAGGCUACGACGCAGUAUGGGUUAUUGUUAACCGAUUGACGAAAUCUGCACACUUCCUUCCGAUCAAAAUUAGAUUCAACUUAGAUCAGUUGGCAAGGUUAUAUGUGAAAGAGAUUGUUUCAAGGCACGGAGUUCCGAUGUCAAUUGUUUCUGAUAGAGAUCUGCGUUUUACGUCGAACUUCUGGAAACGUCUACAAGAAUGCAUGGGUACACAGUUGCGAAUGAGCACAGCAUAUCACCCUCAGACAGAUGGACAAAGUGAAAGAACAAUUCAGACAUUGGAAGAUAUGUUAAGAGCUUGUGUAAUGGAUUUUAAAGGGAAUUGGGAUGAUCAUCUACCACUCGUAGAGUUCGGCUACAACAACAGUUACCACGCUAGUAUUGGAAUGCCACCUUAUGAAGCGUUAUACAGCAGAAAGUGCAGAACUCCGCUAUACUGGGAUGAAGUUGGCGAACGACAAUUACUAGGCCCGGAAUUGGUACAACAAACAAUAGAAAUAGUCAAAGUGAUCCGAACAAGAUUGACAGCAGCUCAAGAUAGACAGAAGAAAUAUGUUGAUCCACACCGUAAAAAUGUUGAGUUCGAGCCAUGUAGUUAUCUAUUUUUAAAGGUCUAUAGAGAGAAAGAGAAAAGUAUUAUGCUACUUCACUACUCCUAUAUCCAGUUUGUUCUAAAGUAAGGGAUAUUAUUUGUUGUACUCGUACGGGGUAUUAUUUUUUUGUAUUCAUGAAGAGAACUUCUGUUAUUCCAUUCUUUAUCAUUAUGUUGGAAUAACUUGUCUAUGCGAAGUACCGCAUACAUGGUGAAAUUCUUCUGUUAUUGUGACAACCCGAAUUUUAUAAGUUAUUAAAAUAAGAAUUUAAUAGUUAAAAUUCUUAUUAUGAGAUGUUUUGAGUUUGAGUAUGUAUAUAUACAUGCUAUAUAUGUUGAAAUAUAUGAUCUGGUGUGAAGAGAAAUAUAUAUUCAUAUAUUGGAAAAGUGAGAUUUAAUAGUUAAGUUGACUAUUGAAGGAAUUAAAUGAAUUUAGUAAUUAAUUUUAAAUAUUUAUUGAAUUAAAUAAAUAUUUUAAAUUUAUUUAUUUAUUGAGAUAAAUAAAUGGUUGAUAAAAUUGUGGUGAAUUAAUUUAGUAACUAAAUUGAUUAAUAUAAAUUAAAUUGAACAAUGUUAAUUUUAUUUGAAGGAUUUAAUUUAAAGAUAUAAUUAAAUUAAAUCAAUUGCUUAAUAUAUAAGAAGAUAAUUAAAUUAAAUGAAUUGUUUAAUUUAAAGAAAAUAAAUAAAUUAAACAAAGUGGUGUUUCUAAUUUAUUAAUUAAAUUAGAUAUAUAAUUAUUUAAUUAUUUAUUAUAAGCAUAAUUAUAAUAAGAAUAUAAUUAUUAUAAUUAUAAAUUAUAAGCUAUUAAAAUGGUUACAUGUGUGACAAAUGUAACUAUAUAAUAUAAAUAUUAUUUAAAUAAUCUAGUAUGGGGAAUUACUGUGUAACCAAACGUAGCCUUAUGUCUUUUGGUUUAUUUUAACUGACGCAAACUUUUUAUUUUUAUAACUGUAGUGUGUGUGGGUUAGUGGGAGGCCAGUUAUAUUAUGCGUAUUAUUUUUCCCCUAAGUCUAGUUAUCAGUGAAGAGCAUAAAGAGAACUUGGAAGCAAGAGAGAAAACAUUGUGAUUGUGAGUUUCUAAGAUUGUCAGGAGGAAGAAGGAGAAUUUCUAAGCCCUAAUACUAUCUUUUGCUAGCAUUCAAUCAAGGGUUUAAGGUAUAAUCUACCCCUAAUUCUAAUUUGUAGUCUUAUAAUUUUUUAUUCUUUGGAAAUUAGGUUUUGGCUGAAUUGUUGUAGAAGAUGUUGUUUAUAUGUAUGUAUUCUCUUGCUAAAUCUGUUAGUUAUCCUCUAUAAGUCUAUGUUGAUAUUCAAAUACAUGAAAUUUAGGUUUAUAAGGAGAAAAGUAAAUAACAGUGUUUUUGUUCAAAAAUGGCUUUAGAAAGUACAAAAUUUCAUGCUUAAUAUGUGUUAUAAUGUGACAACAUGUGACAACCGAGAUUUUGUAAUUUAAUUUUUAAUAUUUAUUGGAUUGAAUAAAGAUUUUUCGAUGAAUUAAUUAUUAGAUUAAAUGAUUAAUUGCUGAAGUUGUGGUAGAUUAAUUUAAUUAUAUGUGUUAUAUUUAUUAAAUUAAUGUGGAGAAUGUUAUUAUUCGAAGUAUGUGAUUAUGUGAGCUUAUUGUAUUAAAAGAAAUAUUUAAUAAGCUUAAUGUUAUUUUUAAUUAAUUUAAUUAUUAAUUAGAGAUUUAAGAAUUUUGCAUUGUUAUUAAAGGAGAAAUUUAAUUAUGUGAAUUAAUGAGAAUUUACUAUAUUUUAUUUAAAAUUAAUUAAAUAAGAUAUUAGAUUUAUUUUAUAAUGGAUGUGACAUUAUUUAAACUAUAUAAUAAGGCUUUAUUAAAUUUAAUGGUUUUGAAAUCCUAUUCUUGCUAAACAAACAAGGCCCUAAGAGAAGUUAAUAGCAGUUACCCAUGACUGGGUAACUGACCAUCAUCGCGUCAGUUUAAUUUCUAUUAUAUUAGACGUAUUCUUCUUCUCUUCCUUUUUCAUUAUUUGGCUAAGUCUGGUAAAACAGAGAGGGAAAAGAGAGAGAGGUUGAGAAUUUAGAGAAGUUGUUAAGAGGUUUGUGGGAGUCAGGAAGAAUCAGAAGGAAUUCAUAUCCUAUUUCACUCUACGCUUGGGUAAUCUCUUCAACCCAAUUCUUUUACGUCAUAUAGUUUUUAUAAAAAAUGGCUUUCAUACUUUCUGUGAAUCUCUGUAAAUUGGGAAAUUGUGUUGUUGUAGGAAUAUAUGUAAUAAUUCGAGUAGCAUAAUAUGUUUUAUUGUAUAUUAUAUAAGUUUCUAUAUCAUCAAUUUCAUGAAAUUAUACAGUAAAAGAUUUCAGAGUAUGUUAUAUGGCCAUAUGGCCUUAUACAUAUUUUUUUUAAUAUGUCAAACAUAAAUUGUUUUGCAAAAUUCACACACUUAUAUGAUUAUUCAUGAUAAAAUGAACAAAACGAAAUUUGAAUGGUUGGAUUUGGUCUUAUAACGAAUCUAUGACGUUGAAUUUUAGAAUUUAUGUUCAAUACUUCAAGAACAAUACAAUUUGCAUGCUUUAAUUCUGUGAUUAUGUGUUUUAAUGGGUGAAAAUCACUCCAUAGAUGUUAAGUAUUGAUUAUAUAUGAAUUCUAGCAUGUGGGUAUGUCUAAAUUUGUGUAAAAAUAAGUUGAUUAGAAAUUUUUAGCCAUGUUCUGCAAUUUUUGCGAAUUGCAGAACUGGAACUGGAGUCUCGCGCCGCGGCGCUAACUCCCUGUACAAAUCUCGCGCCGCAGCGCCACCGCGCCGCAGUGCCAAGAACCUUAGCCGCAUCGCCACGACGCCGCAGCGCUAAGAAUAGUCUUAGAAGUGGCGCCGCAGCGCCACUUAGCAGAAUGGUCAGAAAUGAGUUUUAAAAAAAUGUUUAAGUAUAGAAAUGUGAUAUCAACUUAGUCUAAUGAAUAUAAAAACUUGUUAGACAUAUAAUGAGAUAUUAAAAUGAGUUUUUACCAAGUCAAGAAGACAAUUGCAUGUUAAUUGAAUUAUUGAUUAUAUACUUAGCUUUUUGUUCGUAUAGUGUAAUAUUAUGUGGAAACAAGUAUAGUAAUAUGACUAAGUAUAGUCAUGAAUUGAGUUAGACAAGGAAUAAACUUGUGAGGUUUGGUACGUUAUAAUUGACUGGUAUUAUNNNNNNNNNNNNNNNNNNNNNNNNNNNNNNNNNNNNNNNNNNNNNNNNNNNNNNNNNNNNNNNNNNNNNNNNNNNNNNNNNNNNNNNNNNNNNNNNNNNNNNNNNNNNNNNNNNNNNNNNNNNNNNNNNNNNNNNNNNNNNNNNNNNNNNNNNNNNNNNNNNNNNNNNNNNUGAAUUAUCCAAACCAAACUUCCUUUGGUGCGGACUCGAAUGUCAAACUGAGAUGAACAACCCUGUAUAGGGCAUUACUUAUGCGUUAGCGUUAAGAUAUUGUGCACAGUAUGGUACUAAGGGUUGAUCCCCCUAAGUACGAGAAGAAGAGUUCAUAGUCUUAUGACUGUUAAAGGUUUCAAGUAAAAACACUUGACCACCUAGGACAUAGUUCAAGGUCUUAUGACCCUCAGAAAUUCUUUUGAUUCUUGUUAUUCAUUCUUGAUUCAAAAGUUGAGAUUUUAUAUCCAAAGUUAUUAUUUCUCUCGCAUGUUAUUAUUCAUUGUUAUAUUUUUAUGCUUGUGGGAAAUCGUGCUCACUCUUGCGUAAUAAUAACAUUGCAGUUAAGAACAAAAGAGCAGACGAACCUUCCACUAUUAAGGGCAAGGGCAAGAUUAGCAAGUAAUGAAGACUGUUUUAUUAUUGUGGUUAUAUAAUGAUGAUUAAAAUUGAUGUUACUUAAGAAUUAUUUGUUUAUGUUUUCCGCACAGAUGUUUUAAGGUUAGAGCUAUCUGGGAUUUAUUUAUUAUGCAGUUGAUGUAACCCCAUAAGGGGAGAGAUUUAUUAUUUAUCUCUAUUUAUUGCAUGGUUUGCAUUUAUUUUUGGGUAGAUAGAUAAAUGAUGUUUGUACAGUGAACAGCAAAUCCUGUGGAAAUGGAAGUAUUGGAUUUGGGGGUGUCACAUAUAAUCUGUUAUUUGAUGUUAUAAUAUGUUAGUAUGUUAAGAAACGAAAGCGGCGUAGUUUAAAUCGUGUUAAUUGGUUAAGAAACGAAGCUGUGGCGAUUGAAUUCGCUAAAUGUGUUAAAACAUAAAAAUAGAGUAUGAACAUGUGUCUUGGGUCAAAUUUUGGGUUAGUUAAUAUUCUUGUAAAUUGUUAAUUCUUUGGUAUGUUGUAGUUCUAUGAAUUACGAAUCCAUAGAAUCGAAAACGGACUGAUUUGGAUGAGUAUAACUCAUGUUCUGAUCAUUGGAAGGAGUUUUGGUCUGUGUAAUCAUGAAGAGCAGAGCCUGAGGGCCUGUUCUGCGACUUGGGGCGCAGCUACGCUGCCCCCAAGGCCAUUUAGGGCGCAGCUGCGCCGGACAUCAGUGUUUGGUGCACUGUUCUAACCUGCUGUAGUAAAUUAAGCAUAACUUUUUCAUACGAACUUCGAUUGAGGUGAUUCAAGAUGAUCCGGAACGAGGACGAAUAGACCUACAACUUUUAUUCUGUAAGUGUUUCAAUUUAAGGUCGGAAAGAGUAGUCAAAAUGGUCAUCUUUUUGACUAAUGCGUAUUCGGAGGCAAUCGGAGGGCGUCGGACAUGCACAUACACAAGUAUAGUGAUGUUGACGAUAAUAGAUGUUGUUCUAAGUUAUAGAAAAUGAAUAUUAUGAAGUAUAAUGAUGCUUAACAUUAAUAAAUGAUAUAUUAGAUAAGUUGAAUAGGCAUAUUAAGCACACACAAGAGAGACAAAUUGGGCGUGUGACGAAUAAAUGUCGAAACGCCGUGAUAAGUGUUAAUGAACAUAAAAAGUGUUUUAAAUCAAAUGAAAUUAAUAUUAUAAGAUAUUGAAUAGGGUUAAUAUAAAACCAAUAAUAAUUCCUAGCAGGACUUAAGCACUUGAAUGAACUCCGAAUAUGAAAUAUAGUGAGCUAUAAGUCGAAAGUAACACAAUAAAAUUGAACAUUGUGUAUUGAUAAUAAGAAGGGUUAUGAGACGUAAAUUAAAGUUUACAUUACAACUACUAUGCGUUGCUAUGUGACUAAUAGUUGAUGUGUAUGUAUAGGGCACGUGAAGUGCAGAUAUUUGUAAGCUGUUAAACUGUUAUUGGUAAACAACAAUCAAGGCAAGUCUUUCGGUUCCUAUUUGCUAUGUGAAUUUGAUUGUUUUAAAUCUUUAUUGUAAAGAGCAUGAUGUGUUAUAUAUGUCGAAUGUAUGAAAUGUUAAAGUCAACUUAUGACUACGAUGAUUGAGUAAAGCAUGCUGAUUGAGUAAGGAACUCAAUCUUUAUAUAUCUUUAUACUUGUAACAUGUAUGUUAUGUUAGUCCAAUGUUUAUAAGAUAUAUGUUGAGCAUGCUAUUAUGUGCUACGUGAUGCAUGAAAACUGUUAGAUUUUGCUGGGAUGUCGAGCUCAACCUUGUAAAUAACCAUUUUUGUAGGUUAAGGAUUUAAGGUAACACUAUGUGCUACUUAAAUGACGUGGAUCCAAAAUAAUACUCGAAGAUUAAUAUUUUAGCUAAAGUUGUUAUUUUCUUAUACCAUGAUGAGGAUUCAUGAGAUGUAUUAAACGUUUUAUGAUGUAUAAUUUUAUGUUGAGUUGUAAAGCUAAUGUUAGAGUUAUCUGAUAUGUAAAGGUUAUCAGAUUGAAAUCUAAAUAUUUAUAUAAUAACAGUGAUAAAGUGAAUCAUAAAAAUAAGAUUGAUUCAAAGUCAUGUAGAUGAUAAAAGUUUUGAUUCAGGGAAUUAAAGUAAGAAGACAUAAAAGUUUAAAUUAUUUCGCAUUUUAUAAAGUUUAACAUCGAAUAAUGAUGUAAAAUCAGAAGGUAGAUGUGUUAUUAACGACCAAAGUCGAGAAUUGAGUUAUAUAAAUUUUGGGGUCAUUAUAGUUAUACUAUUCUUUAUCAUUAUGUUGGAAUAACAUGUCUAUGCCAAGUACAGCAUACAUGGUGAAAUUCUUCUGUUAUUCCAUUCUUUAUUAUUCUGUUGGAACAUCCUAUCGGUGUGAAUUUUGCCUGACCUGGUUCCGUUAUUUAUUAUUCUAUUGGAACACCCUGUUUGUGCGUUUACGCAUAACCUGGUUCCAUUAUAUAUUAUUCUGUUGGAACAUCAUGUCGGUGAAAAUUUUUCCUGACCUGGUUCCGUUAUUUAUUAUUCUGUUGGAAUAUCCUGUCUGUGCAUUUAUGCAUGACCUGGUUCCGUUAUUUAUUAUUAUGUUGGAAUAACCUGUCUGUGCGGUCUAUCGCAUGCCUGAUGAUUUCUUUUAUUAUUCCAUUCUUUAUUAUACUCAGUUGGUUAAAGUUUUGACUUCUAUACUCCAUGAAAUUAGUGGAAUAUCCUUGAUAUUUGCGCUUCGUUCAGUAUCUUUUCAUGGAAAUAUUCUUUUGAGCAUUCUUAAAUUUUACUCUACAAAGAAGUAUCAUGUUGACAGUUUGGACAUUAUUGGUUCCUGGAUAAAUUAAUUCUUGAACUUGUUUUAUUGAAUUAUUAUGUCAUUGUCAUCAUCCUCGUGUUUAUAUUAUAUUGAAAGUCAUAUGUGGCCUGUAGUGCAUAGAUGGACUUGGUAUGAUUAUAACCGGGGAUUAUUCGGUAUAAUCAUGACCGUAAUGUUACAAAUGAUGUGGAAAAAGUCCUCAUUGGCCCGUAGUGCAUGGAUAAUUCGUGGUCGUGAUACUAAAUAAUAUCUUUGGUCUGUAGUGCAGGGAUGAUUUGAUGAUGUGGAUUAUUUAUUAAGCUGAGUCUCAGCGAUAAAAGUGAUAAAAAAACAUUUUAAAUCAUAGAAGAUAGUAGAUUGUAUUCUCUACUUAACUCUUCUAAUGGAUUGUUUGUUCUGCUGCAGUUAAACUUGAUGUCUAUUGUAUUUUAUCAGUUUAACAUUGUUGAAGACUAAUGAUAAUUUAUUUUGCAUUAUCCUAGUCAUAUUAUUUCUUACUGGGCUAGUCGAGCUCACCCUUUCUUUCACUAUUCUCUUCAGGAAAUGAGAAUAUAGCUGGGAUGAGUCGGGAAACGGAGUGACGGUCCAGAUGAUAGCAUUAGUAGUCCUCAUUAUUCUGUUAAAUAGUGUGACAAUAAAUGUAAUGAGGACUCCUUUGAGUGUGGAUAUUGUCUAGAUGACAAUAUUCUUAUUAAAACUCUCAGCUAUAUUUUGUCGUAUUGUUUACACGACGUUUGUAUAAUUAAGUUGUAUUUGUAUUUUGUACCAUGUAUUUGGCGACUCAAGAUGGGUGAUGUAUACCUAUUUUUGGGGGCGUCACAAAGAAGAUUAAGUUAAUUUCUUUGAAUUUUAUAAUUUCAAUGUUUGUGUUGGCUUGAAGGAAUAUCAUUUUCAUAUAUAGUUUUUAAAAGUAAAACACUUUCUGUGCAAGUGAAAUUACUCCCAUCUAUUCUAAAAAGCUUUGAGCUCUACUAGUGGUCAGAGCUAUAUUUUUUAGGCUUUCUGUUGAAGCCAGAUUACCUACUUUUGUGACCAAAUAAGCUCUUGUGUUUGCUCAAGUGUUUUUAACAUCCGAAAGUCUUUUUAUUGACUAAUUAACAUUGUUUUAAAUAAUUAAGAGAUUCACCAACUUUAAAAGUAUAUUACCACAUGUGAUACUAAUGGAUUCUCUGUAAGAAAUAUCUACUUGCAAGCAAUAAUGAGGAGCAAUAUUUUAUGCUGCAGGUCUUCCCAUUCGUUAAGAUCUCGCAAUUAUUUCACUGUUAAAUUCUUGUUGAAAGAGAUUUGCUAUUUGUAUUUGAUCAAUUGGUUGAUAAUGAUUAGUUGGCCAGUAUAGUUUUUGGGAAGAUUUGUAACGAACGAGAAAUUUGUAAUUUAAUUUAAAUAUUUAUGGAAUUAAAUAAAUAUUAAAAUAAUUUAUUUCUUGAGGAAAAUAAAUAUUUGAUGAAUUGUCAUGAAUUAAUUUAGUGGCUAAAUUAAUUAAUGUGAAUCGAGUAAUGAUAAUUUUAUUUGUAGGAUUUAAUUUAAGGAAAUAAUUAAAUUAAAUCAAUUGUUUAAUAUGGAAGAAAAUAAUUAAAUAAAAUGAAUUGUUUAAUUUAAUAGAAAUAAAUUAAUUAAAUAAAGUGACGUUUCUAAGUUAUUAAUUAAUUUAGAUAUAUAAUUAUUUAUCAAUAAUAAUAAGAUUCUUAUUAUUAUAAGUUAUUGAGAUUAACUAAACUAAGGUUAUACAAAUUGACUAAAUUAAUGUGUGACAGGGGAAAAACUAUAUAAUAUAAAGGAUAUAAUAAUAAUUUGAUUUGGGAGAGUUUUGGUUGCAAAACAGGGCCUUAUGGCCUUUGGCAUUAUUCAACUGACGCAUCUUUUUGUUCUUUAACUGAUAGAGGACGUGGGUUUUAGUUUAUGUUUACGCAUACUAUACCUAAGGCUAGCGUCUAGUUCUUCUUAUUCUCGUAUGUUGGCUAAGGAGAGAGCAGAGUGUUGAAAGAGAGAGCUUGGAAGAAGAGAGCACAGAGAUUCUAGAAGAUCACAGUGGUUUUGAGAGAUUGUUAUCUUUGUCUAGCAUUCACUAAUCAAGGUAUAACUAAUUCUAAUUCUUAGAUUUGUGAUUUUCUAUUCUCUGUAAAUCGAUUUUGUUGAAUUGUUGUUUCAAACGUUGUGUAUAUGAUAUGGGUUAUAUUGUAGAAUUUGUUGAUUGCCAUAUCACGUGAAAUUGGGUUUGAGGAAGGAAAAUAAUAUAGCAGUGUAUAUGUUCAUGUGAUAUAGCCUUAGAAAGUACCAAAAUUCUUGUCUAAUGGGUGUAAUAAUCUGUAAAUUAACGCUUGUAUGUGGUAGUUCAUUGAGAUACGAACAAAAUAUAAUUUGAAUGGACUGAUUUGGCCAACUAAUGAAUUCACAGUGUUGAUUUCUAGAAGAAAUAUCAAAAAUAGAGUUUUUGGUUUUAAAAUAUGCUAUUCUAGUAUUUAAUUUUUCUAGAAUUAUGGUUUAAGUUGUGUUAAUUUAGUAUUUGUAUGCUUGGUGAAAUUUAUGUGUAAUUUGCAUAAGUUAUGCAUGUUAAUUGGUGUUAGAAAUGAAGAUAUAGUAGCUUGGUUUUGUUUCUGGUUAUGGGUGUUCUGUAAUUCGGACCCCCAGCGCCAAAUUUCGCGCCCCAGCGCCAAAAAUGGGCCAAUAGUUCGUGCCCCAACACUAGAAUCCGCGCCCCGGCGCUGGAACUCGCACCCCGGCGCCACUGACUCGCGCCCCAGCGCUGGAAAAGUGGUCUGGGUUGGAAAGUUUUGACCUCAUGUAGUAAAAUGGCCAUAACAUUUUCAUAUGAACUCCGAUUGAGGUGAUUCAAGAUGAUUCGGAAAGAGGACGAAUAGGCCUAUAACUUUUAUUCUUAAAGAUUUUCAAUUUGAAAUCGUUAUGAAGGGUCAAAAUGGCCAUCUUUAGGACUAUUGUGUAUUUAGAGCCAAUCAGAGGGCGUCGGGAUGCGCGAUUGCAAGUGCAACCCUUUGUGUGUUAGUAUAACUUAAUGAUAACAUGUUGGACAUGUAAUAAGAUGUUGUAUCAAGUUGUUAAUGUGUAUGUGGUGCAAUGACAUGAUCACUUAAGUAGUUGUAAUAAAGCUAAAAAGUAAUGUUCAUGAAAAGAUGCGAUGUUGUUUAAACUUAAACUUAGUUAGUAGUUAUACUAAAAGUAGAAAGCAACUCAUGAAGGUAAUGUUAGUAUAACUAAUGUGUAUUGUAAUUACAUAUGGUAUGUGUAGGACUUGGGGUGAACGUGAGUAGUGAUUGUUUAACCUAUGCACGAGGCAAGUUCUCUAACCCUACUUUUAUAAUUGUGCAAGUUCUAAAUCUUAUCUCUUUACAAUUGAGCAAGCUUUCGAACUUUGUUCUUUUCAUAUCGAAUGCAAGUUUCCAUUCCUAUAUUAUUAUUCUGCAAGUUUCUAACAUUCUUUAUGAAUUUGAGCAAGCUUAACCUAUCUUGCGUAUGUUUGUACAAGCUUAUGUAACCUAAUUCGUUACAUUGAGCGAGAUUUAGUUUCCUAAUUAUUAUUCAAAGCAUAUAAUGUUCUAAUACAUUGAUUCAAGGGAGAUUGUUUUAACUCUUCUAUAGCGCUUUGCAUGUAUAUCAUGAUUACUCAAUUAUAUAUUAUUGUUAUUCAAUCUUUGACUUUGAUAACCUUGUUCAAAGCUUUAUCGUUGUAUUAAACCUUCAAGUAGUAAGCAAACCUUUAUUGAUUGAAUUAAUCUAUAUUCGAAUAGUGUAAAAUUCUAGAAACACUGAUAAGCUAGUUCCAAACUAAACUUUCUUUAGUGAGGAAAUUCUAAAUCCAAACUGAGACGAACAACCCUAACAUAGGGGAUUUUAUACGUGUAACGUUUAGAUGUUUGUGCACAAUACAUGGUACAAAGGGCUGAUCCCCCUAAGUAUGAUAAAAAGGGUCCGUAUAGUCUAAAUGACUGUUAAGGCUGGGUAAUAAUACCUAAGUACCGGGGACAUAGUUCGUGGUCUUAAGACCGUCAGAUAAAUAAAGUUCAAACUUGUUUUCUAGUUUGAUUUGUAGAAUAAGUUCCUUAUUGUUCAGCUUUCGUUAUUCACUCUCAUGUUAUUAUCAUUGCUAUAUUCUAUAUCAGUGAGCAUUUGUUUGCUCACUCUUGCAAUUAACACUGCAGCUAAAGUGGAGAAAGUUGAUGAGCCGUCGAUUAGCAAAGGCAAGGGCAAGAUGUCCAAAUGAUGAAGACUUAUGAUAAUUUUAUGUUUUAUGUUUCAAGACUUGUUUUAAAUAUGUAAUGUAUUCUGCAAACUGAUGUAUUAAUUUUAAGGUUAGAAUACCUGGGAUUUAAUUUGAAAUGAUGAUGUAACCCUUUAAUGGGAGAGAUUAUUGUUUAAAUUAUUCUAAUUAUGUCUUUGUCCCUUAUUAUGGGUAGUUAGAUAUAAUAGUUUUUGAUAAGUGAGUACCAAAUCCCGUGGGAAUGAAGUACCUAGAUUUGGGGGUGUCACAGGUUGGUAUCAGAGCCAUAGGUUAUGAACCUUAAGUGGGGAAACCUUAGGAAGUAACCUUUAAGGAAAUAAAAAAAACACAUAGAGGUGUUCAACUCUUAUCGAGUUUUAAGGAAUGGAUUAAGGUAUCCAUUGAAGCUAAACAAUAAAAGAUAUUAUGUGCUAUGUGUUAAUAAUUUAUGUGCUCACGAGUAUCAAAAAUAUUAAAUAAAACCUACAACAUUUUGUUGUCAGGAUGUCUACCGAAGGAGGAUCCAGUCCAGCUAGAGAGGUGAUACCUCAAAGACCUAUAGAUGAUGAGCCCCGAGAUAUUCAUGUAGUGCGGGAACAGUUGAUACAGGAGGAUGAGCCUGUGACCGAUCCCGUGGAGGAUAGCUCUGAGGAGGUAGAGGAGGAUGAUGAGGAAGAGGAUCCUGAGGAAUUUCCACCAAACUCCAUGUCAGCUAAGAUGUAUGACGCUCUGUAUGACCAUAAUGUAGAAUUACAGGAUGAGGUCCAGGAGCUGAAGGAAAUGGUUGAGAUGCAUCACGCUUUGAUGGAGCAGAAGGAUGCAGAGAUUCAGGAACUCGACUCGAAACUUGGGAACACGGAGUGGGACUUAGUUCAUACAAAGGGUAAGCAUGAAGACCUGUUGGCAGUACACGAGAAGAUGAAGACGGACAUGGAGAAAUUGAAAGAUGAUUUCAAGGAGGAGUCAGCUAAGCGUGCAAGAGUAGAGGAUGUGUGGAUGAAGGCAACUUAACGUGCAGACCGUGCUGAGGCUAAGGUUUAAGUGAAGAAAGCCAAGAUGAAGGAGAUGGAUUAUGCUUUUAAUUUGGCGAUUGAUAGGGCCCAGGAUCGAGUCUACUAUUAUCCACCUCAGUUUGAGAAUACAUCGUGGUUCGUGAUGGAUCGUAGAACGGCAUAUCGUAUCAUGGAGGAGGAACGCCGAGAAGCCUUACGACGUCUUAAUAUGCCUAGAUAGAAUAAGAUAGAUAAUAAUGUGUGGAUAAUUAUGUGAAUAAAUAAGCUGUGAAUCCCUUAUUUUGAGAUAAAUAAAGGGAUAGUAUGAGUAUGUAAUCCUGAAACUGGUCUAGUUCAGGAAGGUAGAUGUUUAUAGCAGUUAUGCUAUUUUGAGUAUGUUCUAAAACUUUAUGAAUGAAUAAAAUAUUAGAGUUUAUUUGAAAUGUUAUGUGUUAAAGCUUUAAUCUUGGAAUGUUUAAAUUAAACUUUAAAUACCCAAGAAGUUGAGUAAGGAGCUAAUAAACGUAUAUUUUAACAGAAAAUGCCUCCUAGAAGAAGACAACCACGUCAGCAAGUACCUCCUGAGGGGUCUACUAAUAAUAACAACGAGACCAAUGCUAAUCCGGUUCAGCAGUUGGUAGCUCUGUUGACGGGUGCCCUUGCGAAUCAACCGCAAGCUCAAGUCACGACUUUCAAGGAAUUCAAAGUGGUUGGACCGCCAGAGUUUCAAGGGUCUAUGAAUCAAGUGGAAGCCCAAACCUGGAUCAUGGAAAUGGAGAAGGUGUUCGACAUUGCUAGAGUUAAUGAAGAUCAAAAGACUGCAUUCGCAACGUUCAUGCUGAAGUCUGAAGCUAGCUACUGGUGGCAAGCAAACAAGGUUCGUAGAGGACAAGGAGUGAUAGCAUGGGAUAGAUUCAAAGAAAUUUUUUUCGAGAUGUACUUUCCAGCAAGUUCUCGGAAUCAACUGGAAGUGCAAUUUCUGGAGUUAAAGCAAGGAACUAUGACGGUGCCGAAAUAUGCUGCGAAGUUUAACGAGUUGGCAAGGUUUGCCACUUAUCAAGUCAAUACCGAUUAGUGUAAAGCGAGAAGGUUUGAACAAGGAUUGAAACCCUGACUUUUCAGCAAAGUUUCAAUGUUCCAGCUAAACACAUUUGCGGCUGUACUGGAGAAGGUAAUCAUCGCAGAAGGUGGAAGCGAUGCCUUGACCAAGUACAAUCAAGAACAGAAGAAGAAGAAGAAUAAAAAUGAGAAUAAGGCUAGUGGUAGUAAUGUUGGAAGUAAUAGUCAAAAGAGGAAAUGGAGCGAGAAUUCGACUGCGAGAGGACAGCAAGGAAAUCAACAGAAAAAAAAGUUUGAGGCUUGCGCAACUUGCGGGAAGAACCAUACUGGAGUAUGUUUGAAGGGAAAGAGAGUGUGUUUCAACUGUGGUCGGGAGGGACACAUUGCACCGAACUAUUUUAGUCCAAAGAAAGGAGCAUACUUUGCCUGUUGUUCAAAGGAUCACAUGGCUCGUGAUUGCCCUAAGAAGCCAACGGGAAGUGCAAGUGGCAUAAAAGGAAACAACAACGGUGGUGGUGCAUUGACUAUCACUGGACAAGCAUAAUCAAGCCGACCUACUGUGAGGACUUUCAAUAUGACCGUGCAGGAUGCUGUACAGUCUAAGGAUGUGGUGUUAGGUAUCAUUCUGAUUAAUGGUAUUAAUACUUAUGUACUAUUUGAUUCAGGUGCUACUUGUUCAUUUAUAUCCGAUGAAUUUGCUCAGAACUUAGAUUUGCCUCAAGAAGAAUUAGAAUUUCCCUUAAGUAUAGAGAUUGCAAAUAGGGAAGUGAUUCAUGUUAGAUUCAUAUAUAGGAAUUGUAGAGUGGAUAUAAAGGGUCACGAGAUGAUGGUAGAUUUGAUACCAAUUAGACUUGGUGAAUUUGAUGUUAUACUGGGAAUGGAUUGGUUAUUCAAUUACGGAGCAGUAAUUGAUUGCCAAAGAAAGUGUGUUAACCUUAUGACUCCGUCAAAGGUUGUGUUUUAUGGAAGCAAGUCACCUCGACAAGCAAGUUGUCUGACGGUGAUGCAAGCCAAGAAGUUGUUGAGACAAGGAUGUGUAGGAUAUUUAGCCUACAUAGUCGAUACACAGAAGAAGAGUACAAAGUUAGAAGAGAUACCGAUCAUAAGAGAUUUUACAGAUGUAUUUCCAGACGAUUUGCCAGGUCUUCCGCCAGAUCGACAAAUCAAGUUUGUGAUUGACCUACUACCAGAAACGGCUCCGAUAUCUAAGGCACCAUACAGAAUGGCCCCGGUAGAGAUGAAGGAAUUGAUGGUGCAAUUGCAAGAAUUGCUUGACAAAAAGUAUAUUCAGCCGAGUGUUUCGCCAUGGGGAGCACCGGUGUUGUUUGUUAAGAAGGAAGAUGGAUCGAUGCGGCUUUGCAUUGAUUACAGAGAAUUGAAUAAGGUCACUAUUAAAAAUAAGUAUCCAUUACCUAGAAUCGAUGACCUGUUCAAUCAGUUGAAGGGAGCAAGGUAUUUCUCUAAGAUAGACUUGAGAAGUGGUUAUCAUAAAUUGAAGGUGAGGCCGGAGGAUGUACCGAAGACAGCGUUCAGAACUCGGUAUGGUCACUACGAGUUUCUGGUUAUGUCUUUUGGUUUAACUAAUGCACCUGCAACGUUCAUGGACCUGAUGAACAGGGUGUUUAAACCAUUCCUAGACAAGUUUGUGGUGGUGUUUAUUGAUGAUAUAUUGGUGUAUUCCAAGACCAAGGAGGAACAUGUGGAACACUUGAGAUUGACGUUGGAAACGUUGAGAAAAGAGAAGUUGUACGCUAAGUUCUCAAAAUGUGAAUUUUGGUUGGAACGUGUACAGUUUCUCGGGCACGUUAUUGAUAAGGACGGAAUUUCGGUAGAUCCAUCAAAGGUGGAAGCUGUAAUAAACUGGGAUCAGCCGAAGACACCGUCAGAAGUGAGUAGUUUCUUAGGAUUGGCGGGUUACUAUAGGCGUUUUAUGCAAGACUUUUCCAAGAUUGCAACUCCGUUGACAAAUUUAACUAGAAAAAUGGUUAAGUUUGUUUGGACAGAGAAGUGUGAGGAAAGUUUUCAAGAGUUAAAGAAGAGGUUGAGUUUAGCACCUGUGUUGUCGUUGCCUGAUGAUACAAGAAAUUUUGUGGUGUAUAGUGACACAUCGCAUAAAGGACUAGGCUGUGUGCUUAUGCAGAACGACAGAGUUAUUGCGUAUGCAUCACGAAAGUUGAAAGAUUACGAGAAGGGGUAUCCGACUCAUGACUUGGAGUUGGAGGCAGUAGUGUUUGCCCUAAAAAUUUGGAGACAUUAUCUUUAUGGAGAAAGGUGUGAGAUAUAUACCGACCAUAAAAGUCUGAAGUAUAUCUCUACACAAAAAGAUUUGAACAUGUGACAAAGAUGGUUGGAGCUGAUCAAAGAUUAUGAUUGCGAAAUUUUCUAUCAUCCCGGAAAGGCGAAUGUUGUUGCGGAUGCCUUAAGUAGGAAGGGACGGGAGAAGUUAAUGAUGUUAACUGAUCAAGAAAAGUUAGUGUCGAAAAUGGCUAAGAUGGAGUUGGAAAUUAAAUAUCUGACAGAAUCCGAUGAAAAGUUAUUCUAGAUGGGAAAUAGUUCAACGUUGGUAGAUAAGGUGAAAUGCACAACUUCGGGAUGAAGACUGUGAAAAGAUAAAAUAGAAGAUAUCUGUAGGUGAGGGAGACAAAUUCAAAAUUGAUUCGGAAGGGUUACUUCGAUUCGAAGGGAGGAUUUGGGUUCCGCCAGUAACGGAAGUUAAAGAAGAAAUUUUGAAUGAAGCUCACAACUCACGAUAUUCUAUUCACCCUGGGAGUACAAAGAUGUACCAAGAUCUUAAACAUCAUUUUUGGUGGCCGAAUAUAAAGAGGGAUAUGGCUGAGUGUGUGACAAAAUGCUUAACGUGUCAGAAAGUCAAAGCUGAACAUCACAGGCCAAGCGGAUUAUUACAACCGUUAGAGAUACCAGAAUGGAAAUGGGAGCAUAUCACAAUGGAUUUUGUGGUAGGUCUUCCAACGACUCAGCAAGGUUACGAUGCCAUUUGGGUGAUUGUCGAUCGGUUGACGAAGUCAGCACACUUUUUGCCAAUCAAGAUUCGAUUUACUCUAGAUCGAUUAGCAAAACUAUACGUGAAAGAGAUUGUGUCAAGACACGGUGUACCUGUGUCUAUUGUAUCAGACAGAGAUCCACGUUUCACAUCUAAUUUCUGGAAACGAUUACAAGAGUGUUUGGGAACACAGUUGAGAAUGAGCACGGCGUACCAUCCUCAGACCGACGGACAAAGUGAGAGAACCAUCCAAACACUGGAGGAUAUGCUCAGAGCGUGUAUUAUUGAUUUUAAAGGGAAUUGGGAUGACCAUCUACCAUUGGUGGAAUUUACUUAUAAUAAUAGUUAUCAUGCAAGUAUUGGCAUGCCGCCUUACGAAGCGUUAUACGGCAGAAAAUGCAGAACUCCAUUAUGUUGGGACGAGGUUGGUGAACGUCAACUAUUGGGUCCAGAAUUGGUGCAACAGACUGUUGAAAUCAUCAGAGUGAUUCGAGCGAGACUGAUAGCUGUACAAGAUAGACAGAAGAAAUAUGCCGAUCAGCAUCGACAGAAUUAGGAAUUCGAUGUCGGUAGUUAUGUUUUCUUGAAAGUAUCUCCCUGGAAGGGGAAGAUUCGAUUUGGCAAGAAAGAGAAAUUGAGCACUAGAUUUAUAGGACCUUUCGAAGUACUGCGACGAGUUGGCGAAGUGGCGUACGAGGUAGCCUUACCUCCGGAGUUGGAGCAUAUUCAUAAUAUUUUCCAUGUCUCGGUAUUGAGACCAUAUAAACCUGACUAUAAACAUGUUAUAGAAUAUGAGCCCUUACAGUUUGAGAAAGAUUUGUCUUAUGAAGAAGUCCCUGUUCAAUUGUUGACAGAAAAGAGCAAGUCCUGAGGAAUAAGGUGAUACCUUCUGUUAAGGUAAUCUGGAGGAACCACAAUGCUGAAGAAGCUACGUGGGAACUUGAAAGUGUUAUGACGAAGAAUUAUCCUUAGUUGUUUGCUUGAUUUUGUAUAGCGAUUCUGGGGAAAAAAUCUUGUUAAAGAGGGAAGAAUGUAGCGAAUAAAUUUUUUGAGUUGUGAUUCUAGGGACAGAAUUCUUUUAAGGAGGGAAGGAUGUAACGAACGAGAAAUUUGUAAUUUAAUUUAAAUAUUUAUGGAAUUAAAUAAAUAUUUAAAAUAAUUUAUUUAUUGAGGAAAAUAAAUAUUUGAUGAAUUGUCAUGAAUUAAUUUAGUGGCUAAAUUAAUUAAUGUGAAUCGAGUAAUGAUAAUUUUAUUUGUAGGAUUUAAUUUAAGAAAAUAAUUAAAUUAAAUCAAUUGUUUAAUAUGGAAGAAAAUAAUUAAAUAAAAUGAAUUGUUUAAUUUAAUGGAAAUAAAUAAAUUAAAUAAAGUGACGUUUCUAAGUUAUUAAUUAAUUUAGAUAUAUAAUUAUUUAUCAAUAAUAAUAAGAUUCUUAUUAUUAUAAGUUAUUGAGAUUAACUAAACUAAGGUUAUAUAAAUUGACUAAAUUAAUGUGUGACAGGGGAAAAACUAUAUAAUAUAAAGGAUAUAAUAAUAAUUUGAUUUGGGGGAGUUUUGGUUGCCAAACAGGGCUUUAUGGCCUUUGGCAUUAUUGAACUGACGCGUUUUUUUGUUCUUUAACUGAUAGACGAUGUGGGUUUCAGUUUAUGUUUAUGCAUAUUAUACCUAAGGCUAGCGUCUAGUUCUUCUUAUUCUCGUAUGUUGGCUAAGGAGAGAGCAGAGUGUUGAAAGAGAGAGCUUGGAAGAAGAGAGCACAGAGAUUCUUGAAGAUCACAGUGGUUUUGAGAGAUUAUCAUCUUUGUCUAGCAUUCACUAAUCAAGGUAUAACUAAUCUAAUUCUUAGAUUUGUGAUUUUCUAUUCUCUGUAAAUCGAUUUUGUUGAAUUAUUGUUUCAAACGUUGUGUAUAUGAUAUGGGUUAUAUUGUAGAAUUUGUUGAUUGCCAUAUCACGUGAAAUUGGGUUUGAGGAAGGAAAAUAAUAUAGCAGUGUUUAUGUUCAUGUGAUAUAGCCUUAGAAAGUACCAAAAUUCUUGUCCAAUGGGUGUAAUAAUCUGUAAAUUAACUCUUCUAUGUGGUAGUUCAUUGAGAUACGAACAAAAUGUAAUUUGAAUGGACUGAUUUGGCCAACUAAUGAAUUCACAGUGUUGAUUUCUAGAAGAAAUAUCAAAAAUAGAGUUUUUGGUUUUAAAAUAUGCUAUUCUAGUAUUUAAUUUUUCUAGAAUUAUGGUUUAAGUUGUGUUAAUUUAGUAUUUGUAUGCUUGGUGAAGUUUAUGUGUAAUUUGCAUAAGUUAUGCAUGUUAAUUGGUGUUAGAAAUUAAGUUAUAGUAGCUUGGUUUUGUUUCUGGUUAUGGGUGUUCUGUAAUUCGGAGCUCUAGCGCCAAAUUUCGCGCCCUAGCGCUAGAAUCCGCACCCCGGCGCUGGAACUCGCGCCCCGGCGCCACUGACUCGCGCCCCAAUGCUGGAAAAGUGGUAUGGGUUGGACAGUUUUGACCUCCUGUAGUAAAAUGGCCAUAACUUUUUCAUACGAACUCCGAUUGAGGUGAUUCAAGAUGAUUCGGAAAGAGGACGAAUAGCCCUAUAACUUUUAUUCUAUAAGUAUUUUAAUUUGAAAUCGUUAUGAUGGGUCAAAAUGGCCAUAUUUAGGACUGUUGUGUAUUUAGAGCCAAUUGGAGGGCGUCGGGAUGCACGAACGCAAGUGCAAUCCUUUGUGUGUUAGUAUAACUUAAUGAUAACAUGUUGGACAUGUAAUAGGAUGUUGUAUCAAGUUUUUAAUGUGUAUGUGGUGCAAUGACAUGAUCACUUAAGUAGUUGUAAUAAAGCUAAAAAGUAAUGUUCAUGAAAAGAUGCGAUGUUGUUUAAACUUAAACUUAGUUAGUAGCUAUACUAAAAGUAGAAAGCAACUCAUUAAGGUAAUGUUAGUAUAACUAAUGUGUAUUUUCAAUACAUAUGGUAUGUGUAGGACUUGGGGUGAACGUGAGUAGUGAUUGUUUAACCUAUGCACGAGGCAAGUUCUCUAACCCUACUUUUAUAUUUGUGCAAGUUCUCUAACCCAACUUUUAUAAUUGUGCAAGUUCUCUAACCCUACUUUUAUAAUUGUGCAAGUUCUAAAUCUUAUCUCUUUACAAUUGAGCAAGCUUUCGAACUUUGUUCUUUUCAUAUCGAAUGCAAGUUUCCAUUCCUAUAUUAUUAUUCUGCAAGUUUCUAACAUUCUUUAUGAAUUUGAGCAAGCUUAACCUAUCUUGCAUAUGUUUGUACAAGCUUAUGUAACCUAAUUCGUUACAUUGAGCGAGAUUUAGUUUCCUAAUUAUUAUUCAAAGCAUAUAAUGUUCUAAUACAUUGAUUCAAGGGAGAUUGUUUUAACUCUUCUAUAGCGCUUUGCAUGUAUAUCAUGAUUACUCAAUUAUAUAUUAUUGUUAUUCAAUCUUUGACUUUGAUAACCUUGUUCAAAGCUUUAUCGUUGUAUUAAACCUUCAAGUAGUAAGCAAAACUUUUAUUGAUUGAAUUAAUCUAUAUUCGAAUAGUGUAAAAUUCUAGAAACACUGAUAAGCUAGUUCCAAACUAAACUUUCUUUAGUGGGGAAAUUCUAAAUCCAAACUGAGACGAACAACCCUAACAUAGGGGAUUUUAUACGUGUAACGUUUAGAUGUUUGUGCACAAUACAUGGUACAAAGGGCUGAUCCCCCUAAGUACGUUAAGAAGGGUCCGUAUAGUCUAAAUGACUGUUAAGGUUGGGUAAUAAUACCUAAGUACCGGGGACAUAGUUCGUGGUCUUAAGACCCUCAGAUAAUUAAAGUUCGAACUUGUUUUCUAGUUUGAUUUGUAGAACAAGUUCCUUAUUGUUCAGCUUUCGUUGUUCACUCUCAUGUUAUUAUCAUUGCUACAUUCUAUAUCAGUGAGUAUUUGUUUGCUCACUCUUGCAAUUAACACUGCAGCUAAAGUGGAGAAAGUUGAUGAGCCGUCGACUAGCAAAGGCAAGGGCAAGAUGUCCAAAUGAUGAAGACUUAUGAUAAUUUUAUGUUUUAUGUUUCAAGACUUGUUUUAAAUAUGUGAUGUAUUCCGCAAACUGAUGUAAUAAUUUUUAAGGUUAGAUUACCUGGAAUUUAAUUUGAAAUGAUGAUGUAACCCUUUAAUGGGAGAGAUUAUUGUUUAAAUUAUUUUAAUUAUGUCUUUAUCCUUUAUUAUGGGUAGUUAGAUGUAAUAGUUUUUGAUAAGUGAGCACCAAAUCCCGUGGGAAUGGAGUACCUGGAUUUGGGGGUGUCACAAGAUUUAUCUAUCUUUUCUAGUGAUUGCACUGUUGGGAUGAUACUUGGACUUACCAUUGGUUCCAUCUCUAAUAUCAAAACAUUAAAUUAUAGCUUUCACUUUGGUAUAAACUAUUUCACUUUGAAAUUGAGAUUAUUUACUUAACCUACAUGACUGUUUACUGUACAAAAUAUAACUUCUAUCUUAUGUUCUUAUUCACCAGUUGAAUAACUUAGUAGAUGAGAAUACAAUAGGUGUGGACUGGAGAAGCUCAUUUUACUUAAACCUAAUUGCCCACACUUUGUUCAGUGUAACAGUGGCAAUUUGCAGGUACAUUUUACUUCUAUAUUUUUCUAUGUUGCAUUCUGUCUUUGUCCUCUUAAUGUUGGUGUGUGUUUAUGGAUUAUCUUCUACUUCUUUGCUUAGAGAUAAUGUUUAUAUGUAUAUUUGGCUGGUAUUUUGCUGCCAGAGAACACAUCUGCAGAAGUUUACAAGAGAAGGUAAUGAGCUUGUUAUCAAAAACCAAUUAUAGGUUCAUUUGUUCUCAUUUCACUUGGCAUUUGAAAUAGGCAAGUAGAAUGUCAAUAGAUACUACAUUUUAUUAAUUUCUUGAAAGAUACUACAUUUUCUUGGAAUUGAGGGACCAAAAACCUCUGAUCCAAGCAAAUACAUAAGGUAUAUCUAUAACCGAGUGAUACUUGAGAAUGCAACUAUCAUAUACAAUUUGCUGCAGAAACAUGUAGCUUGUUGAGCUAGUUGUUACAUAACUGUUCACUGAAUGAUGGUGUGGAGGCCCAGAGGUUUGUUGGUUGAUCAGUUUGACUCUAAAUAAGAUCUCAUUAAUGCAGUCAUCACAUCUUCCUUUAUUCCAGGGUACACAUUUUAUGUUUAUGUACUCAUAUAUGCUGUUGUGCUAUCUUAUUUGCUGAAGUUGAAUUAAAUGAAUAACUUGUAGACGAAGGUAUGUAUAGACGGAGGUUUGACAUUGUUCUGAAAUCGACUUUGUAUAGAUGGAGGUUUGACAUUGUUUAUGCCACCAACAUCUGCUGCUAAGACAGUAUUUGCUUGACGGACUUAUUUAUAGAACUUGCAAUUUUACUCUCAUAUGAAUCAUAGUUUUCCUUUUCGUCUUCUUCCUUUUUUUGUUGCUACUGUUAUUGUCAAUUUUCCCAUUUGUUUUCACUUUAAUUACUUUAAUGUGUUUUCAUUUUACUCCAUUUGUAUCUGUUAUCAUAGAUUUCUUUUUAGCUCUCUUUCAUCUUCUGUUUUUAUAUGAAUUGGAAUUAUGACGAGAAGCUAUUGCAAUCUGUAGACUAGCAGACACCUUAUAGAAUUAACAUAUAAUUGUUGCACAUAAGACUAUAAGAGGAACAUAUUGUAUAAGGUGUCUGUGUGUGAUGACUGCAACUAGGGACAACAGCAAAAUACCUAUUUGCUUCAGCUUGCAUAUUGUCCAAUUAUGAUAAAAAUAUUAAAUAUGUAUAUGGUGUUAUGCAUUAUGCAAAAUGUAGUUUGUGAUGUGACAUUCCUAUAUUUACUUACUUCAGGUCUUAAUUGUGUUGUGCUUACGAUAUGUAUAAGUGUGCUGUCCAUCUCUUCUUUAUCAAUGGAUCUUUUGGUCAGUGUUGAUGCAUUUAUCUUUGGCAGAUAUGUCAAUCGUGCUUUGCUCCUUCUCUGUUUUACGUGUGGACUGUCACACCCCAACACAGCUGCAACUUAUAUAAAUGUGGCUAUGAUGGAAGAGGCAAAGGAAAGGGCUACUGCUCAGAGGCAGCAGCGGUUAUCGACAGUCCGUGAGAGCUUGGUUUGCAAAUGUAAUUUAAUGGCUGCGAUUGUGAGUUAACUUAGCAGGUGGGUAUAACAUCUACAAAUUCUGAGAUGUCCUUUAGUGGCACUAGCUAGCAGUAGAAGUUGUCUACGUGUUUGGUUCAAAUUAAACCACUUUUGUUUGUUGCUUCUUAACUAUGUAGGACAAUAGUAGUAAUGGUAUACCAUUCUUGUUCAGCUUAUAGCACAGAAGAAUUAACAUCUCUUGGGAAAUUUUAUUGAGAAAUUGAGUAGCUUUCAAAUGACAAGUUGGUUUUGGUCAAGUUUUAAAUUUCUUUUUGCGAUGAUCUUAGGGCCUAGGGAGGGACUCAUCUCACUUUGGACCAGCAAAAAAGCAGGAUUUUGGAAGUCAAUAUGGCAAUGCCAAACUGGGAACUCCAGAUGUGUUGAACAUUUUUCUGCUGAAUUGUAUAAAAAAAAUUCUAACAUUUGGGAAACUUUUUGUACCUGGCCUUUUUUUACCCCUUACUUUUGGUUUAAAUGUAGAUUACAAGACUCAUGAUUAGCUAGCUAUUGUGGUGACUGACUGAAGGAGAAAAAUGAAUUGGUACAGAAGGUUAGCUAGCUAUUAGAGGUUUGGGAAAUUUGGAUUAGAAACCAGAGUACUAUACUCAGAUGUAAUAGUAAUUUAUAUUGAAAAGUGAAUUUGAGAUGUAUAUAUUGAUAGUUUGGUAUAUAUUUUGUGGAUGUAGUAAUUUGAAACUGUAAACGAAUGGUAUUAUUAAGAUAUAUUUUGAAUGGUUGAUACAUUUUGGCUUUAAAUUUAAAUGAGAAUUUAGACAUUUUAGCUAUAUAUCAUGUCAUUAGCAUAUUGCAGGUGCAUUGGUAAUAUAGGUGAACCACAAUUUUUUCUUUUUCUUUUUUUUUAUCUACAACAUUUUAAAAAUGUUAUAUAUUUGAAUAAAUAAACGUUGUCUGAUAUAUUAAACUAUAACAUUUUUAUCCAGAAAACGUUGUGGAAUCAUACCUUCUACAACGUUUUCAAGCAUUUGCUAAUUUAUGGAAAAUAAAUCUACAACGUUUUUUUCUAAAAAACGUUGUAUAAUGUGCUUAACUACAACAUUUUAAAAACGUUGUGUAAGGGUGUCAAAUAGAUGACACCCUUAACCACGACGUUUUUCUGAAUGAAACCACAACGUUUUUUUCGCGUUAUCUAUUUACUGUUUUGUAGUAGUGUAUUCAUGUUAAAAAUUGAUUUCUUUUCAGUCCAAAUCAUUUUUGAUACAAUAUUAUUCUUGAAUUUUACUCCAUAAAGCAGUAUCAUGUUGAUAAUUCGGAUAUUAUUGAAUUCUGGAUAAAUUAAAUUAUAAAUCUUUAAAAUUUAUCCUUGCUUUCAUUUAAUUGAAUUUUUAUAUCAUUGUCAUCAUCCUCAUGCUUAUAUUGUGAUGAAAGUCAUCUUUGGCCGUAGUGCAUAGAUGGACUGUUGAUUGGUAUGAUUUUGACCAGGGAUUAUUCGGUAUAAUCAUGACCCGUAAUGAUGUGGUAAAAGUCCUCAUUGGCCCGUAGUGCAUUGAUGGACAGAUGUUAAUAUGAUCAUCAUGCGUUCUCUUGGGCCAAGGGUACAAAGAUAAAUUGUUGUUUGGCAUGAUUAUGACCAUUGAUGAAAACACGAAUAUCCUUGGCCCGUAGUGCAUGGAUAAUUCGUGGUUGUGAUACUAAAUGAAUAUCCUUGGCCCGUAGUGCAUGGAUAAUUCAGUGAUGUGGAUUAUAUAUUAAGUUGAAUCUCAGCGAUAAAAUUGAUGAUAAACUUUUAAAUCAUAAAAGAUAAUAUAUAUCAUGCUCUACUUGACUCUUCUAAUGGAUUUCUUAUUACGCUGCAGUUGUUGAUCUAAAACUUGUUGUCUAUUGUAUUUUAUCAGUUAUUAUACCGUAGAAGGCUAACGAUAAUUUAUUCUGCAUUAUCUUAGUCAUAAAAUUUCUUACUAGGCUAGUUGAGCUCACCCUUUUCUUUUACUAUUCUCUUCAGGAAAUGAGAAUAUAGCUGGGACGGGUCAGGAAAUGGAGUGAUGGUCCAGGAUAAGUGGCUAUAGUAGUCCUCACUAUUAAAUGAAAUAGUGUGAUAAUAAUUAUAAUGAGGACUCCAUUGAGUGUGGAUAUUGUCUAGAAGACAAUAUUCGUCUUAAAACUUAGCUAUUGUGUUGUCGUAUUUUGUACGACAGUUGUAUUAACUAAGUUAUAUUUGUAUUUUGUACAAUAUAUUUGACAACUCAUAAUGGGUGAUGUAUACCUAUUUUGGGGGCAUCACAGUUGGUAUCAAAGCUUGGGGAUAUGAUCACUAGCUGAGAUGUGAGACUAGAACUAGGAGGGGAAAGACGGGUAAUUCAUUCGCUAGUAUGACCUACCUAAGUUUAUUUGUUAUUUAAUUGGUCGGUUAGAAUAUAGGGAUACUAUGUGGCAUGUAAAGUAACUCUUGUUUUAUGACAGUGUUUGAUAAUGGUAUCUGAAAUUGUUGAGAUAAGCAAUGGAGCACAUGACACCGUUAAGUCACCGCCAAUUAAUAACCAGGAUAAUGUGCAUCAAGAAGGAAACAAUCCUCAUGUAAACAACAACACUGACUAAAUGACGAACGAUGGUAUGUUUAGGAAUUUUUUUGAAUUUAUGCAAAACCAAACGAGAGAGACUCCUGUUCAAAAUGCAUGUGGAAACACUGACUAAAUGACGAACGAUGGUAUGUUUAGGAAUUUUUUUGAAUUUAUGCAAAACCAAACGAGAGAGACUCCUGUUCAAAAUGCAUGUGGAAACACUGACAACUCAUGGCUGGUCACUGCUAAGCAAUUCAAGGAGCUGGGACCACCGGAGUUUUUGGGAAAUCCAGAACCACUUAAGGCAGAGACGUGGAUAAAGCAGAUCACCAAGGUAUUUGAUGUCUUGGAAUGAUCAGAGGAACAAAAGGUUCCCUUCGCCACCUUUAUGUUGCAUGAAGAAGCAGAUUACUGGUGGGAAUCUAUAACACGUACUCAACCUACCGCACGAAAGAUGUCUUGGGAGAAGUUCCAAGAAUUUUUCAAUAACAAGUACUUUCUCGAAAGAAUUCGUCACAUGAAGGAGGUGGAAUUCAUCAAGUUGGAGCAAAACAAUAUGACCGUGUUUGCUGAGUUGUCCCAAUUUUCAUCCCAUUUGGUUGAUAAUGAGGAGCGAAUGACGCGAAUGUUUCUGCAAGGUUUGAAACCCAAAAUACGUCAAUACCUCAUUUCUCACAAACUUUGUUUAUAUUCAGAUGUUGUGAAUAGGGCACAAUUAUUAAAACGCGAUUAUGAGUCAGCUCAACCCACUUGAUAAUAAUCGUACCGAUGGCAACGGCCAUCGGAACAACGAUAACCAUCGUGGAGGAAAUUAUCAUGCCAGAAAUGGUAACCACUUCGGUGGAAAUCAUGUCCAAGAUAAUUGGAAAGGUGAACUAAGUGUAAAAAACUUUAAGAAGAGAAGAUUCAACAAUAACGGAAAGACAUUGACAGCAGCACUGGCACCCGUUUCGAAGGAAAGAGAAUGACCAUCGGUCAUAUGUUUCAAAUAUGGACAGGAGGGACACAUCCGUCCAAACUGUACGUAGCAACCCAAAGCAUGUUUUAAUUGCGGAAGAGAAGGUCAUUUAGCUCGAUUUUAUCGUGUAGUGAAGUCAAGUCCAGCUAGGAUGGAGACACCAAAGGAUGUUCCAGACAAGUCAAGGCCGGUAGUUUAAAUGAGAGUGUUUGUCGAGGAACCCGAACGAAGCUAUCACGAGUAAGUUAAUCAUAAACUCUUGCGAAGUCUAUACCUUAUUCGAUACCGGUUCUACCCACUCUUUUAUUUCUCCUACUUGCGCUCAAUGUUUAAAUUUGACUCCUAAGAAAUUAGACUUUGACUUAUUGGUUGAAACUAGGUUAGGAGAAACCUUCGUUACAUCCACCAUUCAUAAAUCAUGUUUGAUUCAAAUCGAUACCCUCAUGUUACUUGUCGAUCUUAUCUUUUUGAAAAUAUUUGUCUUUGAUGUGAUUUUAGGAAUCGGCUGGUUAACUACUCAUUGUCACGCCCCGAAAUCCGGUCUAUCUUCACACCCGAAUUUCGUGCAUCAUGAGUACAUCAUUCUUCCAAACAUACAUCAUUAUAUAGUGAAAUAUAACAACAUACAUUCUCAAUUCCCAAGUUCUAAUACCUUAUAACCUCGUUCAUUACAAAUAAUGAUAAUUACAUUAUUCUUUACAUCUUACAAGAGUGAUUUUCAUCCGCCACCAAGGAUACAUAAUAGCUCAUUAAACUAAUCUAUAGUUCAAUUAAACUAUUCUACAUUACAAGUCUUCUCUUGAUCUUCACGCACAUUCAUCUAAUGAAUGACACUUCUUUUGGAUACCGUUCAGCUUAAUCUUUAUGGGAUCCUUAAGUUCUUCUACUCGUACGCUGAAAAUAUUUUUCAUUUAAAGCAAGUGUGCGCAUUCAAUUGCCUAGAAAGUCAUAGCAGUUGAAUAAACAACCUCAAGAAUUCAAACAUUCCUUUAGAACUUCGAUAAACGAACAAAGGUUAUGAAGCGACUUGAAUAAUAGGAAUAAUUCUGAUUCAUAUCAUUUUCAAAAUAUUAAUCACAUUCACUUUGAAAUACAUUCAUCCUUCUACCUUUUUCAUAGACAUUCUGUCUGGCUAGAUGUAAAAUCCCAAAUUUUACGAAUAAAGAUUUAAUUUUCUCGAAAUAUUUUUUUGAAUAUUAUGGUGUGAAUUUGAGAUAAUGUUAUAGUUGUGGGUACUAUUUAUAAAUUUUGCAAAGUAUGCAAGUUGUUAUAUAAUAUUCGAUUGGUCNNNNNNNNNNNNNNNNNNNNNNNNNNNNNNNNNNNNNNNNNNNNNNNNNNNNNNNNNNNNNNNNNNNNNNNNNNNNNNNNNNNNNNNNNNNNNNNNNNNNNNNNNNNNNNNNNNNNNNNNNNNNNNNNNNNNNNNNNNNNNNNNNNNNNNNNNNNNNNNNNNNNNNNNNNNNNNNNNNNNNNNNNNNNNNNNNNNNNNNNNNNNNNNNNNNNNNNNNNNNNNNNNNNNNNNNNNNNNNNNNNNNNNNNNNNNNNNNNNNNNNNNNNNNNNNNNNNNNNNNNNNNNNNNNNNNNNNNNNNNNNNNNNNNNNNNNNNNNNNNNNNNNNNNNNNNNNNNNNNNNNNNNNNNNNNNNNNNNNNNNNNNNNNNNNNNNNNNNNNNNNNNNNNNNNNNNNNNNNNNNNNNNNNNNNNNNNNNNNNNNNNNNNNNNNNNNNNNNNNNNNNNNNNNNNNNNNNNNNNNNNNNNNNNNNNNNNNNNNNNNNNNNNNNNNNNNNNNNNNNNNNNNNNNNNNNNNNNNNNNNNNNNNNNNNNNNNNNNNNNNNNNNNNNNNNNNNNNNNNNNNNNNNNNNNNNNNNNNNNNNNNNNNNNNNNNNNNNNNNNNNNNNNNNNNNNNNNNNNNNNNNNNNNNNNNNNNNNNNNNNNNNNNNNNNNNNNNNNNNNNNNNNNNNNNNNNNNNNNNNNNNNNNNNNNNNNNNNNNNNNNNNNNNNNNNNNNNNNNNNNNNNNNNNNNNNNNNNNNNNNNNNNNNNNNNNNNNNNNNNNNNNNNNNNGGUAAGGGGUAUUAUUUCUUUCGUAUUCAUGAAGAGAACUUCUGUUAUUCCAUUCUUUAUUAUUCUGUUGGAAUAACUUGUAUACGCGGACUACCCUAUACUUGGUGAAAUUCUUCUGUUAUUCCAUUCUUUAUUAUUCUGUUGGAAUAACCUGUAUACGCGGUGUCAGGAAUAAGCAUGUGAAUGAUAUUCCUAUUUACAUAUGAUUUGAUUAUGAUAUAUAUAUAUAUAUAUAUAUAUAUAUAUAUGAAUGAAUAUGCAAGUAUGCUUGCAUUAAGAAAAGCUGAAAAGUCCCUUGAUAGAUAAUAGAAACAUAUGUACAAGGACUUAGAAUGAAUUGAUCAAAUGUGUUAGGUUGAACCUACAUAAGUAAAACAACUUUGUAAAGUCCUUAAAAAGAAAUGAUGUACAAGGACUAUUAAUAUAGAAAAGAUCAAGCAUGUUAGGUUGAUCUUAUGAUGUAAUGGAUAGGCUUGUCUGAUCGUCGAGCGCUACACCAGAAAUCGUAGUCUGCCAGGAGAGUCAAGAAUAACUAGAGAGCUAUCAAGGCAGAAUCGUAGUCUGCAAGAGAGUAGAUCUCAGAGUUCGUAGACUGCCAGGAGACACAAGGAAUGAUCGUAGUGUGUCGAAUAGUACUUCCUCGGAACCGUAGUCUACUGAGGAAGUCAUGUUCAGAAUCGUAGAGACAGCCUGCCUACGAGCCGACCGAGUAUCUGCCAAAGCCAAGUUAAGAAUAGUAGACUACACUCAGAGUUGUAAAGUCUACUAAUCAUACCAAAGGCAGAGAUCGUAGUCGAGCAAGAUCAGAUGAAGACAACAAGCACAACGACAGAAAUCGUAGUGUCAAGAUCUAAUCUAAGAGUCGUAGUGUCUGCAUAGCCAAAGCUGAAUCGUACAGUGCAGAACUAAGACCUCAACAAAUGUGCUCACAAUGCCAAAGCAGAAUCAUAGAGCAAAUACGAUUCUCAAUAAAUGAGCACUCCCUGAAUAUCCAAAGGAAUGAAGCCUCUGGUUGGUAAAGCAAAGAUACAUCUUACUUGAAGAAAGCCAGAGAGCACUCAACGAAUGUCAUACAAGCUAACAGAAGACCUAAGCACCAACCCAAUCAGCAUCAAGAUUGAGUUGUGAAGCCAUUCGAGAUGAAGUCUUCCACAAGAUGAUCAUAAGAAGACUUCAGUAGCUGACUAAGGAAAGUCAGCAUAUGCAAUAGCUGUCAAGUAGAAAGAUGACAACGAUGUUGGAAGCAACCAAGAUCGUAGUGUUUGCUAAACGCAGAAGGAACUGAUGGAGUACACACUGAGAUACUGGUCAGCCUCGAAAAAAUAAGGCUAAAGUGAUUAAGAAUUGGGUCAGUCCAUUGAUGAUAAGUGAACGAGAGAUCACAAGGAGAAAGCGAGCUGGACACGCCACAAAUCUAAAGUGUCUUGUUAUUCAGAAGAGGCCAGAACAAGGAAUCAAGCCAUCAGUUUCUAAGAACAGUCGAGGCAAAUAGAAGUAAUGAAGCACUACACAAAAAGAGGAAGAGGUGUUCUACACUAAAGAUCAAGUGAACAUUCUUCAAGAUCAUAGUGUUGUUUCUACAAGUCAACAAGAACACUACGAUCAGGUCCAUGAAGAUAUGCAUCAAAAUCAUAGAGUUCGAAUAGCUGAAGACUAAAGCAUUGGAAACGGUUCAAUCUGAAGGGUAAUAUUCGGACAAGAGCUUACUGAGAGCAUCGAUGCAAGGACAACCUCUGAUCUAGAAAUCAGAAGGGUGAAAUAAAGUCGUCGACCUGCCUGAGAUAUCAAAGUGACAUAUCUGACAGGGUUGGUGAAAUAGCAGACUGCAGUGUUAGGAAGUCAGAAAAAGAUGGCAUGUCACAUCUGCAGUCUGCACCAAAUAACUCGAGAUCUGUGAAGUCAUUUGAAUAGCUUUUAACGGCUACUUUCCAACGGGAAGAUUGAGAAGUAGUAUAAAUCAACAGAGCUUCAAAGAUCAAGAGUGUUGAUGAUUGUAUUGUUGCAGAAUCAUUGAGUUGGUGAAUGCUAUUGUUGACUCUACGAAUUCCACCAAAGAUCAAUAGAACAAGUCUUAGUGACAGUGAGACUACCAAGGUGGAAGUGAAGCAGCUUUGAAGAAGGACUCAUACAGAUCAAAGCUUCACUCAACAAAGAUAAGAAUGCCACUAACGAUGGCAGUCCAGCUGAGAGCCGAGAAGGCCAAAAAGAUAGCAUUCAAAAAAGUGGCUGAGUACAAAGAAGAUCAAGAGAGCCACUCUACAGAACACCAAGAACCGAAAGCUGAAACUGAACAAGUGCAGAACCAUAUCUGCAAAGUAUUCAAGAAGGGUUCAGGGAUUGCUAAGUGCCAGACGAAGACAACUAAAAGCACUGAGACUUAGCAAACCCAGAUGGUGAUGGUGCACAACUGACAUCAGAUGAAGAUAAGCUGAAGAGAGUAAAGAUCAGCUGCACCAAAGAAGAUAUGGUCUGGACUCAAAGCUGAAAAUAAAGAAGAUCACACUAAGCUACUAAGUACAAAAGAUGUUCAGAGCUUAGUGACAUCUUAGCAGCUCAGCACCAACAAUAACAACAACUAUAACACAAGAAGCCAGGGCCUGAGGGGUCCUUGUCUGGAGGGACUAAAUGAAGUUCCAAGCCUGCUGGGCUUGAAGAGUUCCUAGGGAAGUAGAGAAGUUCUAAGGCUGCUGGCCUUGAAGGAAUCUUAGUGAUUCAGGGUGCUUCCCUUCCUUAGUGGAAAUCCUGCUAGUUGAAAGCAGAAGAAUGGAUUAGGAGCUUGAGUCUCUGAACCACUUAAAACCCCUUGUGUCUUUUACUUUAUGUCAUUUACAUUAUGUACAUUAACUGCUAUAACUGCUAUGUAUGUUAUAACUGCUUACCACUGAACUAACUCUACGAACAAUGUAUGUAUGAUUAUGAAUAUAUCAAUGAAGGGGAUCUUUUACUUAUUCCGCUGUGCUUGAAAAGAUUCUUAUGUUUGUUACAUGCUAAAUUCUUAGCAAUACAAAAUAAAUCAGAAAAGUAUUGAAAUUAACAAAAAGGAUCUAUUCAACCCCCCCUUCUAGAUCUAUUGUGCCUACUAGGAACUAACAAUUGGUAUCAGAGCAGGUUCUCAUGCUGUAUUCAAAAGCUAAUCACUUUGAGUCUGAUCUUAGGCACAAACAUUGUUCUAAACUUAGUUUAGUAGUAAGUCACUUGUUGUAUGCAGAUGUGCUCACACAUUGGAAAUAUUGUGUAUAGGUAAAUGUGUAUAUACAUCUGAAACUGCUCAGAUUGGUCCAUGUUCUUAAUUGCCAUAUCAACAAGACUAAUUCUUGCUCGCGGUCAAUCUUGUAGUCUGAAGACCAGGCUAGAAAGCUCAAGAGACAUCAACAGAAAAGAAUCAAUCAUCCACCAUCCUGAAAAGAUGAAAAGACCAUACAUGCUAAGAAAUUCUUAUCCAGAGAAGAAAGAAGAACUUCUCAAACAUGUGUCUGGCCAACCAGCAGCUGAAUGUAAACCUUGUGAACUCAAGGAUGUCGAAGAACUGAAGAUGUUGAGAUUUUCUUAGCUUGCAUCUUCAAGACCACGAUUGAUUGAUUGAAGGUCAACUGAAGCAACAAGCUAUCAGGAGUAAAUGAGAAACUAUGAACAUCAAUGCCUAAAUCUCAGUAUGUCAAAGUUAAAUGAUUGUUAAGGAACUAACAGUAGAAAGGUACGGUUCCUCACUAAUAUAACUGUGUACAUCAUGUUGCACCUCCUUAUGAACUAUAACAGUACUCUUUCAAAAAAUCAUAAUCUACCUAAAAAGGUGAAUAGAGAAAGUACACUGAGGAUGGAAACCUAAUUGCCUAUAAACUUUCUCUCCAUCCAAGUUUCAGGUUGAAGAUGACAUCUUGAAAGAAAUCUGAAAUGGGUCAUAAGAGCAUCACAGGUUAAAUUAAUUUUAUGUGAAGUAAUCAUUACUGAUGGGUUAGUAUGUAUGUACAAACCUAUGUUCUAAGUGUUUGAUAAUACACAGAGUAUGAUCAGUCCUGCAAGAGUAUCUUGAUGAUUUAUAGAAACUGAUCACCUCCAUGGAUCAACCAGAUACAAAUAAUUUGUAGAGUUGAUUCUCACUCUGUGAACAUUUAAACUCUGUGAACCAAACCAAACAAAUGAUGAAACCAUCAAAGAAAAAGAGUGUUUUAUUAAAAUAUCAAAUCUUACACACACUCACCUUCAUGCAUCUCAAAAUGUAUUAUCUAAAUGAGUUACAUGCAUGGAUAUGACUAUUGGUGAUCAAUAUGAUGAUUAUCUAUAUAUAUGAGGAACAGGGGUUUAGAAGACUAACUUAGUAGGACCCACAUAACCAUGGGUACCAAAAAUAGAAAUUUAUAACCUGCAGGUACUUGGUCUAUCUGACCACACUAAGGAAUGCUAAAGCAAAAGACUUCAGUCAAGAAGAGUCAACCAGCAGAAGGCUUAGGACUGUUGUAGAGUCCCCGAAUCCGGAUACUUGAAACCCAAACUCGGUACUUUACGAUACCAUUUCUAUGAGCGGAAUUUUACUAAUAAUAAUAACAAUAAUAUAAAUUUCAAACUUAACUUACAUUUAUCAGAGUCUAAUCCCAAGUACGCAACCUUUACUAUAUUCUUUACAUGAUAUAUAAUACAUAUCAUUAACUUAAUACAGUCUAUCUAUUACAAAAGAUACCAAUAACAUAUUCUGUUUGCUUUCCUUUUCACUUGUUCCUGGCCGAGCCUUCUAGCUUUUCACACUUAGCUGAAAACAUUUAAAUUAAGCAAGGAUGAGCAUUUGAGUGCCCAGCAAGUAUUAUAUAUAUAUAAGCUGAAAGAAUUUAAAUGUUUUCUUUAUAAUAUUCUUCUACAACCAGUCAAUAGUUGUGAAGUAAUCUGUACCAAUAAUAAUAGCAUAACAACCCUCGUUCAAGUUUUUGAAACUGUGUAUUGUCUAUUUAUAAGGUUUCUGUGACAUAUCAUGAACAUUGUUUUCAUUUUCGAAAAGGUUAAACAGAAAUUCAUCUGUAAACCGGCAUUGCUUACGGGCCUGAGGGUGUACAGUCCAUGGGCCCUGUAUUGAUCAAUACUACAUUGCUAGAACGAUAUUAUCGUUCAUCCUUUGUCCGCCGUAGCGCAUAAAAAUUUUCCCAUUAUCGGGAUGUUCAUUUCUGUCGGGUUUUCAUAACAAAGGUCUUAUAUAAUUCAACAUAUAUGUAUAUCAAAGGUGUAUCAACAUGCGAUUAAAUACAAUGAUUAUCCAAGUGGGGACACUUGUAUAAUCAUUUAUAGAAAUUAACGAACAGAAUAUAUUUAUCCGAAUUAUCAUAUACUAACAUGUUGAUAAUCAAUGGGCUUAUAUAAUAUAGCUUUAACAAUCUGUACAUUAAUAAUAAUAAUAUAAUUUUGAAACAUUCUUACACUUGUCCAUUGCAUAAAGAAAAUGCAAAGUUAGGAUACUUGCCUGAUGCGCUGCUUACACUUACGCAACUUAGAUUUAUCUUUUCUAUCAC
rnacentral:lncRNA from 1 species